rnacentral:lncRNA from 1 species
AACAGACACUUCAUCGAGCGUAAUCGAGUGGUCUCUGGCUGAGAUGUUGAAAAACCCGAGCAUCCUCAAGCGUGCUCACGAAGAAAUGGAUCAAGUGAUUGGAAGGAGCCGGCGGCUCGUGGAGUCUGACUUGCCAAAACUUCCAUACCUACAAGCCAUAUGCAAGGAAAGCUUCCGGAAGCACCCAUCCACACCACUGAACCUUCCUCGUGUCUCAACCCAGGCAUGUGAAGUGAACGGCUACUACAUCCCAAAGAACACUAGACUUAGUGUGAACAUAUGGGCAAUCGGGCGAGACCCUGAUGUCUGGGAAAGCCCGGAAGAAUUCAGGCCAGAAAGGUUUUUAAGUGGAAGAAAUGAAAAAAUUGAUCCUCGUGGAAAUGAUUUUGAGUUGAUCCCGUUUGGGGCUGGACGAAGGAUUUGCGCUGGCACUAGAAUGGGAAUAGUGCUGGUUGAGUACAUUUUAGGGACGUUGGUACAUUCAUUUGACUGGAAAAUGCCGGAUGGAGUUGAGAUCAACAUGGACGAAGCUUUCGGGCUUGCGCUGCAGAAGGCAGUUUCUCUUUCGGCCAUGGUGACACCAAGGCUUCACCAGAGUGCGUAUGCAGUCUGAGCUCAAACCGCUCAGACCAAAACCCAGGCCUCGCUGCUAUAUGGCAUGGAUGCAGUUAAGUAGAAAAUAUUUUGGGAUUUUUGCCUGUGGCUUAGUAUAAGAUGUAUUAGCUCAAAGAUGGUCGUUUCAUUCUACCACCAAGCCAUAUGCAUCUAUGCAUAAUCUAUUGAUUUAGGCUCGAUUUGGUUAUAGUUUUUGUUUUUUUGUCUUCCAAAUCAGUAAAUAGUAGGGGUAUUUUUGUCCUAUGUAGUGAUUCUUUUUGUUUGAUUGAUUAUAUUUGGAUCCUUCAAAAAUAUACGGUCAGAGCCAUCUCCAUCUUUUCACUUCUUGUGCUGCAGAAUGGGAUUGGCUUAGAUCGUUAGUCUAAUGUUAACCCCCUUCAAAUCUAAUUAUUCAUACUCAAUUUUGACACGAAAGAGCCAUUGUCAUGAAAGGGGGACCAGGGACCUCAGCACCCUUGGUUCAUCAUUUUGGUACGAUGCCAACUCUACCACAUAACCACCAUUUAGAUAUCUAUCCUUUUAUUUUUGGCAUGUGAACUUAUAGUGGGUGGCUGACCUUGAAUCCAAUAGUUAUCAUGAUAUAUAUGGCUGAAAUUAACCAUCAUUUAGAUAUCUAUCCUUUUAUUUUUGGCAUGCGAACUUAUAGUAAGUCCGAUUUAUGUCCAAGGGUCAAAUUUAAAUCUCUCUUCAAUCUAAUGGCUAAGAACUUCCCAACUUUAUUUAAUACUUAAUGUAUCCAAUAAUUGUAAUCGAGUAAUCCAAUGACAAGUACCUUCAAUGAUUAUUUUGGCAAAAGAAAUAAUAUAAGUUUGUUAUUUUAUGAUAUAAUAAAUUUAUUAAUACUUUCCUUUUUCAAAAUAUGUAAUUAGUUGUAAUUUCAUUAUAUAAUAUAUAAAUUAAGUUAUUUGCAAUUUUAAAAUAUGCUCAUUUUGUAUUUUUUUAAGUGUUAAUUAAAAAUUAUACAAUUUUGUUUUAUAAAAAGUAUUUAGUACUUUUAAUUUUAUAAAUUACAAGCAUUAAUUUAUACUAUUUUCUUAAAAUAUUUAGUUUAGUAUGCAUAUUAUUAGUUGUUUUCUUACAUCACUACUACAAAAAUAAUAUAUGAUGUCACUAUUUAUAGUGUCGCAUUUAAAAUAAUGACACCAUUGAACUUAAAAUUUAUAAAGGUGACACAUCAUUUAAAAAAUCUUCAAUUAGGAUAGUUAGAUUAUGCUAAUUUCAGAUUUACGGUGUCAUUUUUUGGAAGUGACACCAUAUGAAAUAAAAAGUUUUAAAUUUUAUAACUCAAUGGGCCUUUUUUAAAAAUAGUGAGUAGGAACAAUUUAUGAAAAGUCUAUUGUUUCCAUAUAUACAUUAACUAAUAUAAAAGAUCUUGUUGCUUGACCCUAACCAUCGUUUUCUUCUCCUUCUUCUCACACCCAUGGUCAGCACACCCAUAAUUGAUAUUCUUUGCUUCGUAAAAUCUCGGGUAAGUCAAAAUCUCUUAUCUAUCAUCUUUAUUUUUUUUAUUAAUGCAAAAAACUUUGUUAGUAUAAUUGUUUUAUAUCUCUUGAUUUAGUAUAUCUAUGAUGUGGGUUUUGUAAAUGGUGUUUUUUAUCGAGUUCUAAGGAAGUAAAAACUAAGUUUAACAUUCUAACAUAUUUUUUGUUUCAUUGCUAAUAAGCCCCAAAACAAAUGAAAACAAGAAAAAUGAAUUAUUUUUAAAAAAUUUGUCUAAUUGAGAAUGAGAGAUACACUAGUUUGUAGUAAUUUUUCGCAUGAAAUAGUAUUUUAUUGAAGACUUGACUAUAUUUGAUACUUUUUUCCACCGUGCUAGGAGCUUUUUGGUGAAGUCUAACAAUAGAGAUUGAUAUCUGCUACAAGAUGAUACUCAAUUAAACCAAAAGCACUUAAGUUAUUUAGGGUUUUCUUCGGUUAACCUAAGAAAACAUUCCCACUUUCUUUGUAUUGAGUCAUCUAAAUAGAAUAGAAUAUUGGGUAUCAGAGUCGUAAAUGGUAUUAUAAAUAUGACUUUUUUUUUAGAGUCACCUACAUGGAAUGAAUUAUUGGUAGGUGAACAAAAUAUUGGGGUGAUUGUAAUAGUUGAAUUAGUAAAUGGAAGAUAAGUGUAUGUUGCUUUGUUUAUUCUAUAAAAACAAUAAUUUUAGUAGUUGAAAUUUACAUGCUUUGUUGUUUUAUAAAAACAAUAAUUUUAGUAUUUGAAAUUUUAAAAUGUGAAUGAAAUGCCUGAAAAUAUAUUUUGAAAAAUAGGAUAGUAAUAAAUGGAAAAUAACUCAUUUCCUAAAAAUAUUUUGAUAAAUUAAAAUAAUAUGUGGUUAAAAUAUAUUUUUGUGAAAGUAUUUAAAAAUGAAUCAAAAUAUAAAUAAUUGUUAUUUUUUUUUAAAAUAAUUUAGGAAUAUAAAAUAAUAUUGGGGAUAAUUUUUGAGUUUAAAUUGUGUUAUAAAUGGUUAAUUUUUUUAGGACUGUCCUUUUUGAAAAUAAUCCAAUGAUAAUUUUUUUAAAUAAGAAUGUUGAAACUAAUUUUAAAAAUAAAAUUUUGUUGGCAAUGAUUUUUCUAAAAGUAUUUUAGGCAUAAAUGGAAAUUUCUUGUAUGAAAAUAAGAGAAUUUAUAUAUAUAUAAUAGACAUAAAAAUAGAUUUCUUUGAUAUUUAAUAAACAAGUGAAUUUUUCUCUAAAAAAAGAAUAAAAUAAGAAUUUCUCUAUAUAAUAAAAUAAUUUAUAUAUGAGAUAGUUUUCAAUAAGAAAGUUUUGAAAAUAAAUUUGGGAUAAAAUAUUUUUUAGUAAGUUUUGUUUAGAUAAUUCAAGAAUAAAGUGGUUUAUUAACUUUUCUUAAAAAAUAACAUUCUUCUUUCUUUUUUGAAUUGAUCAAUAGUUUGGAAAUAAAAUUGUUAGAUUCUAUUUUUUGUAAAUGUUUAAGAUAUUCUAAAAAAUUCUUUAAAAAUGAAAUGACCUUUCUACCACAUUCCUUUAAUAAAUAAUUGUAUUUUUAUACAUAUUGUAAAGUAAAAAAAAAAGUCUUUAUUUAGUUAACCUAAGAAGACAUUCCUACUUUUCUUUGUGUUGAGAGUCACCUAAAUGGAAUAAAAUAUUCAAUAUCAUAGGAGAGUAAAAAGUAUUGUAGAAAUGAUUUUGUUGAGAGAGUUAUCUAAAUGGAAUGAGAUAUUGGUAGGUGAAUAAAAUAUUAUGGUGAUUGUAAUAGUUGACUUAGUGAGUGGAGGAGAAGUGUAUGCUUCUUUGUUUAUUCUAUAAAAACAAUAAUUUUAGUAGUUGAAAACGUGUAUGAAAUGACUGAAAAUAUUUUUUGAAAAAUAAGAAAAUAAUAAAUGGAUAAUAGCUCAUUUCCUAAAAAUCUUUUGAUAAAUUAAAAUAACUUGUAGUUAAAAUAUAUUCUUAUGAAAGUAUUUAAAAAUAAACCAAUAUAUUAAUAAUUGUUAUUUUGUUUAAAAAUAAUUUAAUAGUAAAAAAAUAAUACUGAGUUCAAAUAUGACUACUUUGUUAUGAGAUUCAUUAAAGAAAUAAUUGUUGAUUUUACAGUUAUUGCAUCAAAGGUUUUACUCGUUUAAUGAAUUGUACAUAAUUUCAUACUUUCAAUUAUUAUGAUAUUAAUGUUAUUCUCAUUUGAUUUCAGUUUGAUUACAAAUAAAACAUAUUCUCAAGUAGAAUUUGAUGAAAUUAGAGAAAAAUAGAUUACUUUUGUGUUAUAACUAAUCAUGAAUCAUAUUGAUGUAUCGUGAUCAUUCAUGGUAAGUCCCUUAGUUGUUAUAUGAUUGAAUUUUCCAUUGAUAUUGUAUAACAUUACUUAUUCUUUACGAACUAUUUUUAUACCAAAAUGAGAAAAAGGAAAAAGAAAAAGAAAACAUUAGUACUUAGAUUUGUUUAUUGUUUAUAACAUCACAUUUUUAUUUUCAAUAAGAACUCUAAAACUCAUUAAUCUAUGAAAUGCAGGUAUACACUCUUGGGAGGACAAUAUGAAGAAUAAAAAGAAAGGAGAAAGAGACAACAAGAUUUAGGUUGUUAGAUAUGACUCUUAUGUCAUACAUUAUAGGACAUAAAUGUUACUUUAUUUGGAAUUGAGAAUUUUGGGUUUUUGGAUGCAACUCUUGUGUCAUUUUAUGGUUAGCCGGUUUUAUACAUAUGAAAUGCAAGUAUACAUGAAUGUUGGGAAACUUAACAUUUCUAAAUCAUGUUUUAAUGUGUAUUCACUUUUCUUUUUUAGUUUUGGUGGGUUUGAUGUGUUUGAUGUACUAUCAUUUUGUGAACAUUUGAUAUACAAAUAUUAUUGGAUGAUGUAAUAUGUUACAAAUUAAUUCAUAAGCAUUAUGAAAAUAUAAGUUAAAUGUAAUAUGAUUAUUAUAUUUAUGGACAAUUUACACAGGUUAGUCUUAUUUAUUAAUAAGCAUUACAAAAAUCUACAAACUAAUCAACAAAAAACAACCAUAUCUUCCAUAAUCAUUUACAAUGAUGUGACACCAUAAAUUAAAGGUGAUACAUUUAACGUGACACCAUAACUCAAAGAUGAUGCAUUUAAUAUGACACCUUAUAUAUCUCAUACAACUCUAUAUCAAAUUAAGCAUCACUAAAAAUAUAUGGUGUCUCUUCUGAAUGUGUCACCAUUUAUCUGCUUUGGUGUCGCUUCCAAAUACGUCACCAAUUGAUACCCUCUAUGGUGUCAGUGGAUAAGGUGACGCUAUGUUGUAGUGACACCCUAUGUUUAUAGUGACUUAUUAUAAAUGUCACCAUAUAUCUUUUUCCUUGUAGUGCAUCUCAAGUUUCAAUCAAAAAAAUAUUUAUGAUUUGUUUUUAUUAAUUUGUGUCUUGUUUUCAAUUUAAUUAAUGAAAAUUUAUUUGAUCAAAAAGUUCAUUACAAACCAAUUUUAAAAAUCUAAUCCUUUAUUAUAUUUUGAUAUCGUUUUGAUAAAAAUGUCUUUAUUAUUAUUAUUAUUUUUUUUUUUAUAAAAAUAAAUUUUUUUAUAAAUAUAUUGUAAAUAUUUAAAAUAAUUAAAAAUAUUUAGAUCAAAAAUCGAUUAUUUUUCAAACAAAUAUAUGAAAGUGAUAAAUUUGCAAAUAUGGGGAAUAUUUAAUCCUUUUAAUCGAUUAUUUCAUUAAUGAAGUGGGUAUAAUGAUGAACGCAUACUUGGUUUUACUAGGGCAUGCAGAGGUUUUGCAAGAGAGAGAGAUCAUUUCUCGACUCUGAGAAAUCAAUCUCCUUUUGGCCCGGUGGCGGACUCCAAGUAAAGCCUUGAAGGAGCCUUGCUAACAUCCCUGCACACCCACGCCUUCCAGUACUGAAGGAAAUGAAGCGAAGGUUUGGCUCGUUCAACUCCACUGCUUGAACUGUACUAGCAUUCAGAUGCCGCUCUGGAUUGAAAUUUAGCGGUUCUUCCCAGAUUCUAGGGUUCCGGCCCAGCCCCAGACGGCUCAGAAGGACAUGACUGCCUUUGGGGAUAGAGUACCCAGCAACACUAGUCGGAUUCCUGAACUCGUCUAUCCUUUCCAACCACUCCAUCAAUUUCUUCACUGCUUUGCUCAAAAUCCCUGGUUGCUUGAUCAUUGCCUACUCAAUUGCAUUUGAUGGACUAUCGACGCCUGCAAGCAUCAACUCCUGCAAAUUAUGGAAGGAUCAUAAUCUGAUGAUUGAUCAAGUUAUUUGCUGGCUAGGAAAUGAUCAUCAUGCAAUGUAGAUCAAAAGGUAAGCACAACACUACUACAAAAAUAAUUUAUGGUGUCAUUUUUAAAAUAAUGACACCAUAGGGUUUAUAAUUAAUAAAGGUGAUACAUCAUAUGAAAAUUCUUCAAUUAAGGUAGUUAGAUUAUGUUAGUUUUAUAUUUAUAGUGUUAUUUUUUGGGAAGUAACAUCAUAUAAAAUAAAUUUUUUUUUAAGUAUUAUAACUUAAUGAGCCCACUUUUAUAAUUAAUAAUGAGGGAUAAUGUAUAAAAAGCCCAUUGUUUCCACAUGCCACCCAUAAUCCAAAAAAUCUCAGUAUACAAACCUUAUAUAUAAAACCAUAAUCUUCUUCUACCUUUUCUCUUACCUAUAGUCAAUACACUUACAACCGACAUUUUCUACUUUGUGGACUCCUGGGUAAUCCAAAUUCUCUUAGAUCUAUCAUAUUUUUUUUUCUUUUAUUAAUAUAAUUAUAUUGAUUGUUUCACCAUCUUUGUAUUAUGGUUUUUGUAAACUGCGUUUUCUUGAGUUGUAGGGAAGAAAAACUUAGGUUUAAACUUCUAGCAUAGACGAAGAAACUUGUAGAUUAAUUGAUUUUUUAAUAUGAACCAAACACAUGACUGACUUCUUAAAAACAAGAAAAAAUGAAUGAUUUUUAAUAUGUAUUUAUGUGAGAAUGACAGGUACAAAAUUUUGUUGAGAUAUACUGUCACAUAAUCUUCAUCCCUUCCCUAAAACAAGAGAGAGAGAGAGAAAAAAAAAAAGGAAUGAUUUUUUUUGUGUGUAUCUAAGUGGGAAUGAGAUAUAUAGAAUUUUGUUGAGAUGCCACAUGAUCUUUAUCCUCCAUUAAACCCAACAUAUUAAAUCCACUAACUCUCCCCAAAAACGAGUAAAAAAAAAGGGAAAAAAGUAUGAGUUAAAAAACAAAAACGGAAAAUAUGAUUUAUUUUUUUUUAAUGUGUUUCUAAGGAAAAUGAGAGACACAAAUUUUUGUUAAGAUGCAUUGCCACGUGUUCUUCAUCCUCUCCAUUAAGCCUAAUAUAUUAAACCUAAUAGCUCUCUCUUUUAACUUUCCAGUGAAGUGCCUACAGUAUCCAACUCAAAAUAAGACAACUUAAGCCCCAUUAGCCAACAACCCAUAUUUUGUGUACAUCUUGAUGAGAUUAUUUUGUGAGAAAAUGUCAUGAAACAAUCCCAAUUUGAUAAUCUAGGCAUGUAUUUGAGUUAAAAAUAAAUUUCUAUUCUAUAGAUCAAAUAAUAAAAUCAUGUUUGAAAAUUAUUUUUAAAAACUUAUUUAGAGCAAAAAUAGUUUUCUAACAUAAAAAUAAUUUUUUAACUGAGAAAAUAUAUUUGAAAUUAUUUGAUAGAAAAUUGGGCAUGUAUUUGACUUAAAAACAAAUUUCUAUUCUAUAGCUCAAAUAAUAAAAUCAUGUUUGAAAAUUAUUCUUAAAAGCUUAUUUAGAGCAAAAAUGGUUUUCUAACAUUAAAAUAAUUUUUUAAUUUAGAAAAUAUAUUUGGAAACAUUUGAUAGAAAACUAGGCAUGUAUUUGACUUAAAAAUAAAUUAUUAUUCUAUAGAUCAAAGGAUAAAAUCAUGUUUGAAAAAUAUUCUUAAAAACUUAUUUAGAGUAAAAACAGUUUUCUAACAUAAAAAUAAAUUUUUAACUUAGAAAAUAUAUUUGAAAACAUUUGAUAGAAAACUUUUUUUUUAAUGUCAAUAAGUUGUCUUUUUGUUAAUUUAAUUGUAAUCAAUUUGCUUAUACGCAUUUAAAAGUAUAUAUUAUCAUAUUUAGUAAUAUUUUGAUUGUUAGGCAAAUUAUCAUUUUUGAGAGGAAUUUUUGUAGCUCUCAUAAUUAUAAUUGUAUUUUAAUAACCAUUUCCAAUAAAAAAGAAAAAGAAAAAAGAAGUUAGACAAUUAUCAAAAUCUGAUUUUUAGGAUUUUAAAAAAAUCUACAAGCCAAAACUAUCUAUAAUUUUGAUCAUGUGAGAACACUUCUUUUUUAAUACUUUGAAUUAUUUUGUUUUUUUUUUUCUUAGUAUCUGAAAGUAUAAAAGAAUUUCUCUUAUUAUAUUAUUAUAUUAUAUAUGUGCAUGUGUGUUCUCAUGGUUUCUUUAUGUCAUGUCUUAUUAAAGAAUAAAGUGAUGAAAUUUCCUUUGAGUAGAAGGUUUUAGUCCACGCUAGUGAGUGGACACGGUAUGAAUAGUUUGGGUGGGUUGUAUCUAUGGUAAAAAAUAAUAAAAGAUACCUUUUGCAAGUCUCCAAGUUGGUUGAGAUACAUGGCAUCAUGUUGACUAAACCUUGACUUUUGCAAGUCUCCUAGUUUCCAACUUUUUUUUUUCUUUUUUUUUUAAUAUUAAGGUGUGGGGCCAUGAACUCCUUUCUUUCCUUUUUAAAUAACAAAAAGGAAGAUAAUUUUAUUGUGAGAAGGCUAUUUCUAUCAAUUGUGUUCACGUCGAGAAUUUUUUAAUUUAUGGAGGCCAAAUAUAUAUUUAUGUCUAAUUUAGGAGGGUAAUUUGGGUUUGUUUAAUCUAUUCCAUUUAAUCAUACUAUACAAUCAUUUUUUUAUUUGGAUUAUUUUUGUAUUAAAUUUCUUCAACCCAAAUUUUGUUGAAAAAUUACAAUGUAUUAUUAAAAAUAUGACUUGAUAGUUGAUUAUGGACAUGUGUCAUUUUUAGUAAAAAAAAAAAUCUAUAACAUUUUAUAUUGAUAAUAUAUUAUUCUUGUAACAGGUUCGAAUAGUAAGCAAGUCAUUAUCAAAGAAGUUAUUGAAAGUAUAAGUGUACGUUUAUUUAUUGCAUGCUCUUAUAUUGUAUCAAUUGUAAGGAAGAUAAAAUUACCUUGUAAAGGUAAUUAAAUCUUUCUAUAUUUUAAAAACUUUUUUCCUAUAUACUAUGCUUUUGAAGCUUGUUUAAUUAAACAUAUUAGUUAUUUGACAAACUUUUCACAAAUGUUUUGUAUACUUAUGUGUUCUAUUUUGUUCCAUAGUUUUAUCGCAUAAUACUAAUGUAUAUUUUUUCACAAACUUUUUACAACUAUUUUGUGUACUAAUGCAUAUUAAGUUUUGUUCUUGCCUAUAUAAGCUACAUUUAGUUAUUUAAAUAUAUCCAAUAUUAUGUUGAAGAAAGAUGUACUUAACUUUUUUUAUUCUAAAUAUUAACAAGUUUUAUAGUUCUCUUGUCUUGAGAUUGAAUGUCAAAAGAUAGAAGGUCAGUUGAGUAUGAUGAAAGAGUUGAAAACUUUAUCAAUUUUGCAUUAGCACAUUCAAUCAACCAUUCCCCUAUAAAAUGCCCAUGCUUACGUUGUGCAAAUCUAUUAUGUCAAACUCUUCAAGUCAUUACAGAGCAUUUGUUCUUUAAUGGAAUAGAUCUCAGUUAUCGAGUAUGGUAUUGGCAUGGAGAAAAUGGACCCAGUGGAGGAUUUUCAAAUGUCUCACAACAACAUUAUGACAAAUGCAAGUAUAAUGAUGUUGUUGACACAAUAGAUAUGGUUAAUGCUGCACAAGUUAAUUGUGUGAAUGAUCCCUAAGUGUUUGGAAGGUUACUUGAAGACGCAAAAAAACCUUUAUAUCUUGGAUGCAUGAAAUACACAAAGUUGUCAGCAUUGGUAAAACUUUACGACUUAAAAGCACGUUAUGGUUGGUCUGACAAAGGAUUCUCAAAAUUGCGUCAGUUGCUUGGAGAUAUGUUGCCAUUGAAUAAUGAGAUGUCAUUGUCCAUGUAUGAAGCUAAAAAGACUUUCAGUGCACUUGGGAUGAAUAUCAAAAAAUUCAUGCAUGUUCUAAUGAUUGUAUUUGGUAUAGAAACCAGUAUAAGGAUGCUAUUGCAUGCCUAACUUGUGGAAAGUCAAGGUGGAAGAUAAACAAUGAGGGGAAAAAGAUUAAGAAGGGGCUUCCUUCAAAGGUUUUGUGGUAUUUCCCACCAAUCCCUAGAUUCAAAAGGAUGUUCCAAUCCUCAAAAAUCGUUAAACAUCUUAUGUGGCAUGCCAAGGAUAAAGAAUAUGACGGUAAACUAUGCCACCCAUCAGACUCCUCAGCGUGGAAACUAGUUGACCAUAUGUGGCUUGAUUUUGCUUCUGAACCGAGAACCUUAGACUAGCACUCUCAACAGAUGGUACAAAUCUUCAUAAGUCUAUAAGCAAUAGACAUAGUUGUUGGCCUGUUAUACUGAUCAUAUACAACCUUCCUCCUUGGUUGUGCAUGAAAAAGAAGUUUAUGAUGCUAUCAUUAUUGAUCUCAGGACCACGACAACCUGGUAAAAAUAUAGAUGUUUACUUGAGUCCAUUGGUAGAUGACCUUAAAACUUUGUGGGAAAAAAAAGUUGAGACUUAUGAUGCACACUUGCUUGAGGUUUUUACUUUAAAGGUCAUCAUUUUAUGGACAAUCAAUUAUUUCCCUACAUAUGGAAACUUGGCCAAUUGCACCGUGAAAGGAUAUUAUGCAUGUCCAAUAUGUGGAGAAGGAACAUAUUCCCAAAGAUUAAAGUAUGGUAGGAAGAACUUGUAUAUGGGUCACCGACGAUUUCUUCCACGUAACCAUCCCUAUUGGAGACAAAAGAAGGCAUUCAAUGGUGAACAAGAUUUUAGAAUUCCUCCUAAAAUUUUGAGUGGAGAAGAAAUACUUGAAAAAGUUGAUCUCAUUCCUAUUUCUUGGGGAAAAAUGAAGAUAAAAUCUCUUGAACUGAUGUGAACACAAAUUAUUGGAAAAAAAAGUCCAUAUUUUUUGAGUUAGAAUAUUGGAAAUAUCUUCAUAUCCUUCACAACUUAGAUGUCAUGCACAUCGAAAAGAAUGUCUGUGAGAGUAUUAUUGGUACUUUGUUUAACAUCCCAGGAAAACAAAAAGAUGGACUUAAUGCUCAACUUGACCUAGUUGAAAUGGGUUUAAGGUCUGAACUUUUCCCAAGAGUUGACUUGAAGCGGACCUAUCUUCCCCCUGCAUGUUAUUCACUAUCCAAACAUAUAUGACAAAAAAUUAGUUUGUCAAACAUUGUCUAAUUUGAAGGUCCCUGAGGGGUAUUGCUCAAAUUUUAGAAAUCUUGUCUCCUUAAAGGAAUUGAAGUUAUUUGGUUUAAGAUCCCAUGACUACCAUGCACUUAUGCAACAACUAUUGCUAGUGGCAUUACGUUUUGUUUUGCUAAAGCAUGUGAGAUAUACUAUAUCAAGAUUGUGUAUCUUCUUCAAUCAAUUAUGUACAAAAAUGGUUGAUGUGCCAAAAUUGGAUGAAGUACACAAUGAGUUAGUGGUCACGCUGUGCUUACUUGAAAAGUAUUUUUCACCUUCAUUUUUUGAUAUUAUGCUUCAUCUAGUAGUGCAUUUGAUAAGGGAGGUGUGACUAUGUGGUUCAGUUUACUUUAGGUGGAUCUACCCAUUUGGGAGGUAUAUGAAAGUUCUUAAAGAAUUGUUCGCAAUCAUAAUUGGCUUGAAGGAUGCAUUACUAAGUGCUAUUUAACAGAAAAAGCUAUUGAAUUUUGUACUGAAUAUUUAUUAGGGACUCAUGCAAUUGGAAUUCCAAAAGCAACAAUUAUGACAACAAAUUUGGUAGACCUAUAAUUGGUGGUCGUUCUACCAUCAUUGAUCAUAAAUUGUGGUUACAAGCACAUCAUUAUCUAUUAGAGAAUACAACUAUCGUCCAACCAUACACUGAGUAAGAAAAACAUACCUUUAUCUUUUUAUAAUUUCAUAACAUAAUGAUGAAAUCCUAAGUUUGCAUUCCUUGUCUUUAACGUCAUAAGGAACACAUGAAUUGGUUGAGGUCUCAAUACCCUCGACAAUCUAAUAGACAAAUUUGGUUGCAAGAAGAACAUAUGAGUUGUUUUACAUAUUGGCUUAAAGAAAAGGUAAUCUCUUAGUUUUUAGAAAAUUUUUCAAUAUGUUGAAAACAUCACAAGUUUCCAAUAUGUUUUGAUUAUACAUAGGUUGAAGAGGCUAUCCAUAAUGGGCAAGAUAUUCCCGACACACUUAGGUGGUUAGCACAUGGCCCUACUCUCCAGGUAGUCAAAUAUCCUGGAUAUAUCAUUAAUGAGUGUUGUUACCAUAUUAAGAAACGCGAUAUGACAUGCAUCACCCAAAAUAGUGGUGUUUUUAGCAAGACUAUGCAAAUUGCUAGUUCUAAGGAUAAGAACCUAGUUUGUGGUGAACUUUGCUUUUAUGGGGUCAUUAAUGAGAUAUGAAAUCUUGAUUACAACAUGUUCACAAUUCUAAUUUGCAAGUGUGAUUAGGUUGACAACAAGAAUGGUAUAAAAGUUGAUGAACUCAGGUUCACAUUAGUUGACUUCUCCAAAAUAGGUCACAAAUUGGAUCCAUUUAUUUUAGCAUCACAAGCCAAGCAAAUCUUCUAUGUUGAAGAUCAACUUGAUCCUAAAUGGUCAAUAGUUCUCUCAAUUCCUCCAAAAGAUUUCAAGAACAUAGAAGGACUAGAUGACUUCACCGAUAAUUGCAUGGAACAUCACCCCUUUAUAAGUUCAAUGCCAGAAUUUGAAUCAUUUGAUGCUAUGGAUGAAUCAUAGGCAAUACACAUGAGAGAAAACUGUGAGGGCAUAUGGAUUGAAAAGAAUUAAAUAACAUAUUGUACCCUUGAAUGAGAUAUAAUAAGGCAUUUCACUUAUUAGUUUUCAUGAGUUGCACAUUAACUUAGCUUCUAUAUAUUGCUCAUGAUAUAUCUAUAUAUAUUAAUCAUCCUAAAUUUCUUUCAUGCAUCAUAAACAUAUGUUAUUCAAAGGUACCACUUCAAUCUUCAUUCAACUAUCUUUUUGUUGUCCAUAGAACUAGAUUUAUAUUAUUUUUUAUUAUCAUGUUUUGAUUUUAUGCUCACAUAACUUGAAACUCUCAUUCCUAAAUUUCUUUUUCAUUAAAACUAUAAAUCAUAAUUGAAACUAUGCACUAAUUUAUUUUAUUAUUAUCCUCACAAAUAAAUUCUUCAUUAUUGAUAAGAAAUCAAAAAACAAGACAAACUUUGAAAGAAAAUUUCAAAAAAUAUAUUUGUGAAUGACCAAUUUAAUUAUAGAAAAUAUAUGCAAGGCUAUACUAAUCUUGCUUUUGAGUCAUUUUACAGGUUUGUUGGUGAAGUACUAGUUUGCACAUUUACUUGAUAUCUUCCACACAAAUAUGGAUCUAGAAGAAGGGGAAAUGCCAAAAAUAAAGCAUAGAUGUAGUGCAUUGAAACCAAAGAUUGCAAAAAAUCAAAGUAAAGGGAUAAAACUCAAGAUUGAAUACAAUAGCCUUGGUAGUCCCAUUAAGGAAAAUUCAGUUAAACUAAGUAGUUAUCUUAGUACAAUAACUAGAACCCAUGUGCUAAUAAUUAUUGAGAGUUGGAGGAAAGUCCCUAAAGAGACUAAGGAGAAGUUGUGGGAUUUGAUCACAGUAAGCCUAUCUAUAGCUUUAAUAUAUAAUUAUUGUAUACAUUCAUUAACAUGAGCUAAUAUGGGUUGUUAUUUUGUAGACAAGCUUUAAUGUGAAUAAAAAAUCCAAGAGGAAUUGUUUCAUACUAAUGGGCAUCAGGUUUCGAACCUUUAAGUACAAGUUGACAAAGAAAUAUAUAUUGUCUUUCAAGAAUGACCAAAAAAGCUGAAAAAGUCACCUCCUAUUUACCCAUUCAUACAAGAGGAUCAUUGGAGACAGUUUGUUAAAGAUAGACUUUUUGAACAUUUUAAUGUUAAGCAUUAUUUUUAUUACAUCUUCAAUUUUCACAUUUACGUAGUUUCAUUAUGUACUAAUUUUGUGUCUAUAUUUUGUAGGAAUAUCGCAAAGUUUAGAAAUCAAGAAGAGAUAAACACAUUUACAAUCAUUAUCUUGGAAGAAAAUGAUAUGCACGUUUUGAGCAAGAUAUAGUAAGUUAUCAAUAUCCAUAAAAAAAAUGGAGUAUAUAUUUUGUUUAUAGGAAAAUGAUUCUAGUUUUUAAAUAUCAUUUAUUAACUUGAUCAUGUUGAACUAAUGAGUUUUAUUGUUAAAAUUUUUAUAGCUACAAGCAGAAGGGGCUAUUGGUAGGGUUGAUAGAAGUGUUUAUGAAAGAAAACACGUGAGAAGAAAGGAAAGUUUAAUAAGAUUACAAAGCUAAUGAUUAACUAAGUUAGCAUAUUUAUGCCUUUUAGAGCCUAUAGUGUUAGUAUGUCUAUGUGAUUAUGGUUUGGGAUGAUAUCGUUAGGUGUUAAUAGGGAAGAGGCUUAAUGCUAUCAUUUUUAUGAGUAGUCAUGUUAUAUUAGUGCAAAUAUAGUAGCCUAAUUUGAAAAUUAAUUUUGAAACAAUAUACAUUAAUUUAUCUAUUAUCAUUUUUAUUAAAACAAUUCAUUUUCUAGCUACCUUGAAUUGGUCCUCUUGAAUUGGUUGUCUUUGAUUGAUAUGUUAAUCAUCUUCAUCAAAUUAUUACUAAUAUAUGUUUUGUUGUAGGAUGAAUUACUAGAAAAGGCAAGGAGACUGGACUACCUCCACUUGGUCCAAAUGACAUAUUAUGUCAGGCAUUGGGUAAGCUUGAUCAUCUAGGACGUGUGGUAGGUCAAGACCGCUUGGUUAGGUCGAACUCAUACUUUCAUCAACCAUUUGAUGACAUGAAAAAAAAAAUCAAAGAAGAAAUAUGGGAAAUGGUGUGAAAGGGGAUGCAAGAUGCUGUAACAAGACAAACUAUGUCUCCUCCCACACCCCAUUCUGAUAUAGGUAGUAAUAACAUGAGACAACAACUUGUUUUACAACUAGUUGUAGCAAAAAAACCAAUGUUUAAAAUGAUGGAAGAGCCCCAACCACCAGAACCACCACUGAAACGUAAGGUAUACAUUUACUUACUAAUAAUACAAGAUUAAUAUAAGUGAUAUAUAGCCUAUGUAAAUGAUAUUAUUUGUUGUAUUAAAGGUGAUUAAAUAUAAAUUAGCAGUGGAAUGAAAAUGAAAUGUUGUUGCAACUGGUACAUUAAUAGAAGAAAAUUGAUCAAAUGGGUUGGUCGUAAUAAAUGUUGCACACAAGCUAGAUGCUAGACUUCCAUUUCCAAAUCCAUAUGAGAUUAUCAAUGUUGGGGAUGCUAUUGGCUUUAAGCUUGACUGGCCAACAAGCCUUGUCAUACUUGAAACUAAACAUCCUCGGGUAUGUCAUUUUAUACUUGUAGUAAAUUUGAUUGUAACUUGGUAUUUUAUUGUUUAGGAGUAUAUAUUACUAACAUUCCUUCAUUUUUCAUAGGUGUUGGAUAAAGGAAAGAAGUAGAUAGUGAAUGCACCAAUUAUUCGAAAAUCUAAGCCUCAAAAUUAUUCGGUCAUUAAAAAUUUUCAGAAAUUUAUGGAUGGUUGUCUUAGUAAUGAGAAGACAUACCCAAUACAGCUCCCCAUUUCACUAUUUGGUGUCGAAUUCCGAACAUAUAUAUCUAGAGAGGAUUGUGAAUACAUUAUUUCAUCUUCAGAGGUGUUAUCAAAAUGCAUCUCCUUCCAUUUAUGGUGUGCACCUUUUAUUUUCAUUUGUUUUUAUUUUUUUAAUAUGAGUUGCCCCUGUUGAACAAGAUUGGAUAUGACUAAUGAUAAUUUUCUUUUGGUGUUUUGAUAAUAUAAUAGGUACAUGCAUGAUCAACUACAUAUUGCCAAAAAGGAAUCACAAUUUAUAUUUGUUAAUCCUUUUACAAUAUCAUGAGCAGGCUUUAGUAAUCCUCAAAUAGAGAAAAGAACACAAUUGUUGUCAAAACACUUAAUAGAGUGCCAAGAUGUCAGAUAUGUUUUCAUGCCCUACAACCCCGAGUAAGUGACGAAUAUUAUACUUUAAUUUGAGGUUUUAUGAUUGAUUUAUAUUUCUAAUUAGAUGCUACUUUUGUUUUUAAUGUUUUAGCUUUCAUUGGGUCUUGGUAGUGAUUGAGCCAAGGAAAAUGAUAGUCCACUAUCUUGACCCUGUGCAUCACAAACCAUGUGAGGACUUAAAGGAUAUCGUAAACAUGUAAGUUCUUCCUAUUAUUUUUCAUAGUAUUAUUUAAAAAAAAAAAUUACAUUCACCUCAAACACAUUUUUUAUUGUUAUUUCUAUAUAUUAAAACAUAUAACAUUUACCUAUUUUAAAAUUGUACCCAUUGAACUUAUUUACAUAGGGCUCUUUAAAUAUUUGCAAAGAAAACAUCUAAGAGAGAGCCAUCUUGGCAACUAGUGCAAGUGACAUCCAAAAAUUUUCUUUAAACAUUUAGCUUAUGCAUUUGCACCAUUUAUAUAUAUGAGUACUAAUGUUAUUUAUAACUGAUCCAUUAGUGUCCAAGACAAGAAGGAGGGUUCGAAUGUGGCUACUUUGUUAUAAAAUUCAUUAAAGAGAUAAUUUUUUAUCCUACAAUGAUUGCUUCAAAGGUAUUACUUAUUUAAUGAAUUGUACAUAUUUUUAGGCUUCCAAAUGUUAUGCAUUUUAAUGUUAUUUUCUUAUUUGAUUUUAGUUUGGUGAUAAAAAAACAUAUUCUCAAGUAGAAUUCAAUGAAAUUAAAGGAGAAUUGACUACUUUUGUGCUACAACUAAUCAUGAAUCAUGUUGAUGCAUCAUGAUCACCAUGCAUGGUGAGUCCCUUAGCUACUACAUGAAUUUUUCCAUAGAUAUUGUAUAGUAUUGCUUUUCUUUGAACAAUGUUUUUAUUUGAAAAAAAGAAAAAAAAAGUUCUUAGAUUUGUUCAUUUAUGAUAACAUCGAUCCAUAUUUAUUUUCUUCAAUGAAAUCUAUAAAACUCAUUAAACUAUGAAAUGCAGGUAUACACUCUUAGGAGGGUGGAAUAGAGAAUAAAAAGAACAAAGAAGGCAACAAGAUUUUGGGUUUUUAAAUACAGCUUGUAUGUCAUACGUUGAAGGACAUAAACGUUACUUUAAUUGGUAGUGAGAAUUUUAGAUUUUUAGAUGCUACUUUUAUGUCAUUUUCUUGUAGUGCAAAUUACUUAUCUUACUAUGCAUUGGGCUUUGAUAUUAGCCAAAGAUAGUAGUGGCUCCUAAUUUUUAUCCUUAACUGAAAUGAAAACAUCAAGCAGGUCCCCAGCCUCUUUUUCGCCAUUCUUCCACUAUUCUACUAUUUGGUCCAUGAUUGGAUCAUGGUACUUGUUAAUGGUGUUCAUAGCCUCCCUUAUAGUUUUUUCAUGGCCAUCUAAAUUCAGCACUCUCUGCCAUGGGAAGUAAUCAGAUAAAGAGAAUACAUAUAGAUGAGCAAGUAUAGUAAAGAAGGAUUCAACAUGUUGCUCCACUUCAACUCCAGGGCCUCCAUCUUUCUUUCGUUGGCCAAAGUAUCUUGUGUUGAGGAUCAUCUUUCAGAUGACAUUCCCGUUGUAUUGACGGACUUUAUUUCUGUCACACCCCAAAUACUAGGCAACCCAGAACUUGACUCGUGACCCUAGGUCAAAUGUUUGACCCUAAGAGUUACUCUUAUCCAUGUUGGCAAUCAAUCAAAACACCCUGGAUUUUUUUUCUUUUCAAUAAAGCGUUUAAUCCUAAAUAAAUUUAUUAAGCUAAGAUUUACUAUAACAUAUCAUUUUAUUUUUCCAAAACUAACCAUCACAUUAUCUCCUGUUCACAAGUAUUAAAAAAAAAAAAAAUUCCACCAAUCAUCUUCUUACCCAAAAUCUCAAAUAUUUACUAUAAUCUCUAAGUCAAAAAGAAUAUUUCCAAAAAUGUUUUACAAACUAAUAAAAUAUAAUUUAACUUAAAAAAGUCCAUAUAACUCAAAUUAGUAGAUGUCAAAAAGGUAAUUAAAAAAAAACAACCAUUAUUAUGGUUUUUUUGCUUUUUAGAACACUUCAUGAUCUUCUUAUGGUCCCUUAGAAACUAUAUCUGCAUCUAAAAAUUUUAGAAAAUAAAGGGAUGCACAUUUCCACGUUACUCUUUAGACCUAAAUGGGUUAGAAAUUCUAAGUCAAUAAAACACAACCAUAUGCCAAAAUAUAAUAUUACAUUUACAUUAUACACACUAAAAGAAACCUCAACCAUACAAAUUUAAAUCAAUCAAAAUUAUCAUUUUCCUUAUUUAAUCAUAUGUUUAGCAUAUCAAUAAUUUUAAAUUUACAAAAUAAAUAAGUCACUUUAGUCUUGAAUAAUAUAUUCAAACAUAUACUUGAUAAAUAAUACAAAUCAUUUUUCCAAAUGCAACCAUGAUACAAAUGCUUACACACAAUCACGCAAUGCAAUAUCGUUCUCGAGCUUUCACCGAAGGAUAUGCAUUUAUACCCAAAUACACUCCCCAUUCGGAGUCUUCCUGGGAUAAAAUUUUGAGUCUUUCACCCUAAGGAUCUCACUCCCUUCUUAACUCACCAUCUCUAGGGUCAUUCAAUUUCUUAUUUUUCUUUUCUUUUCAUUUUUGCCAUUUUUGGGGUCUUUUCAUUCUCAUUUCCAUUUCACACAACCAUUUCUUCAAUUUUUAUUUUUCUUCACACAAUCAUGAUGCAUAUGAAAUGCAACUGAAUCAUAUUUUAACAUCCAUAAUUUUCCAAGACAUAAUUUUAUUUACUCCCAUUAUGUUUCAUAAUUUCCAAUAAUCCACACAACGAUUUUUCUUCACUUUAAUCGUCACAAACAUAAAAGAAAAUUCACAAUUAAUUUGUAUAGCAUCAAAACAUAGUUUUAAACAUUGACCACAUAAAUUCUAUUUAUUCCCGACAUGCUUAAUAAUUUCCAAAUCCAAUAUAACCAUUUUUUUUUCAAUUAAAUAAUCACACAUAUCCAAGAAAAUUCUCGCUAAUACAAAUAUCAACAAAAAUGUAAUUUAUGUCAUAAUUUAUUUGUCUCCAAUAAUUUCAAAAAUUUUGACACCCAUAUGACAAAUUUCCACAAUUAAGCCACCCCAAUAUUUGGGAAAAAUUUUCCAAUAAUUCAAAUAUCAACAAAAACCCAAUUUAUAUCAUCAUUUUAUUUAUUUUUAAAAGCAUUAAUAAUUUUAAUAAUCAAUACAACACUUUUCCACAAUUAAGCCACCACAAAAUUUUGGGAAAAUUUUCCAAUAAUUCAAAUAUUAACAAAACACAAUUAUACCUUAAUUUUUCUUAUCUCUGACAACAUCAAUAAUUCUUAGUACUCAAUACAACUAUUUUUAUUUUUUCAUAUUUAAUCUUCUCAAACAUUACCAAAAUUCCAAGAAAAAUUUAUAAAUCACGAAAUAAAAUUAUUCACAAUAAUAAUCACACUUCAAAUACUACAAAUAACAUCUAUUAUAUUUCAACAACACAAUAUAUAAUUUUUUUUGAAAGAAAAUAUUAAAUCAAAGUUUUAGGGUUAAAUCACCCUACCUUAAAUUUGAAAAAUUUAACCAUUAAAACUAAAACGGGACACCGUAGGAGUGUUCCUCGCAUUGAAUAGAAUAUCCUUCCAAAAUUUUAUGUGAAAUGGACGUCAUUUGGUAGGUCCACCAGCAUCCUAAAGCUGGCGACCCAUUUUUCCCACUCUUUGCCGACGACUUCCCUACAUCUCUUACUCGAUUUCCUUUCUUCAUUUUCUUUUCUUCUUCUUCUUUUCUUCUUCUUCUUUUAAACUCCCACGCCAAUUUCACUUUAUAUAUAUAUAUAUAUAUAUAUAUAUAUAUAUAUAUGUAUGUAUGUAUGUAUUAUUAAAACAAAUCCUAAAAUACCACGCACAUCCAUUUCUCAAUAAAUUAAAACCAUUAUUCUUAAAUUCACCUUCCGUAAUUAUGAAUUAUACCAAACUUAUGAUUUUCCAUUUCACGAAAAAUACCACCGUAUUCGUAAUUUAAUUUACUACAAGUCUACUCUUCAAAAAGUAUAAUUUGAUUAUAAUUACAUGAAACAUUGUUUUUUUACUCUAAAAUUCAUUUAAAACAUGAUAUAAUUAACUAUUAACAAAAUUCAAUUCCAUAAAAUAUUAAAAACAUAAAAUAAUUUUUUGGCAAUCAAGAAGUUGAAAUUUGUAAUAACCCUAAACCCGUUAAUUUUACCUAUAUUUAUUUACCAAAAAAAAUUUAAAUAAUAUUCUAAAAUUUAAUUCCAUAAAUUAAUUAGUCAUUCAAUUUAUAAAAAUCAAAUUCUCUACCCUUUGGUAUAACUUUUAUUUAAUUUACUUCAUUUUUCAAAUUAUUCAAUCGCAUCAAAAUUUCAAAAGUUAAAUUCACUAAAUUCACAUUUAAUUAAUUUAUCAUUUUGUAUUUUUUUUUUUUCUAAAUUCGCAUAUCAUAAUUUAAUCUUAAUUUAAUUUUGAUUCAAUUUUGUUUUAGGUUUUCUAAUUUUAUGAGGUUUAAUUUCAAUUAUAAAAAUUAAAUUCAAUUUCUUUUUAAUUAUCCAUUAUCACAAUUUGAUAUAAUAUAAUUUUUUAUCAAGUUUUUCUUACUACGAUUUUUCUUAUAAUUAUCCAAUAAUAAUUAAAUUAAUUCUCGUAACAUAUUUAAUAUUCAAAUUUUAAAAACUUAAUCUCAAUUAUUUGAUGGUUAUUUUUUUUUUCUCAAAAUCUAAAUUUAAUUUAUGAAAUUCUCACUUCUUACAUCUGACGUGGCAAAAUUUUCAAACUAUUGACUUUUGACCAACUUUUCCUAAAUUUAUCCUAAUUAAAUACUAACACAUGGAUUUUCACCACUCUUUUUGAUCUUUUGACCCACAAAUUUAUGAAAGACUUUAUACUUGGAGAAUCUACAAAAACCUGGGUAUUACAAUUUCUCAGGUUGAUAACUGUCGUGGUUACGAAGCCACCACUUGAAUACUCAAUCGCCAUUGUAAUGGGCCUAGAUGCAAAUAGUACAUCAUGUUUCUUCAAAAGUUCUCUGCUAAUCUCUGGGAAAGUCGUAGGGACAAGAUGAAAUAUUUCCCAAUUGAAUACAUGCAAUUUCAGUGUUCAUUUCUUUCAUAAAGCCAAUGUAUCCACCAGAAAGUUGGCUUUUUGUUGAGUAAAUGAGGUAGAUAUUGCACUAGUGGCCAUGGAGCUAAUCCUGGAGGAAGUUGUAUCGGCUUGCUUUUGGUACUUGUUUUGGAUUUUAAUUUAGUGAAGAUGAGAAAGAUUGAUGUGAUGAAAAGCAGUAAGAGGAAGUUGAAAUGAGACAACACAUCGUCUGUGGUAGUAGAAGAAAACAAGGUUGAGUUACUGCUACUACUCUCUGCAACAAAGCCAUUUACACGUCUUUUAUGGCAAAACCAUGUUUGUCCUAUCUUGGGUCUGGAUGCACAUUUUUAAUAUUGGGGAAAUCAUGCAACCAAAUGUCACACACAAAGAGAGAGAAAAAAAUACGUUUUUUAGAACUUGAAAAGGUAAAGUGGGACAAAAAAUAUUAUCCAUUCUUGAACUCUAAAAGUAAAGUUAUAAAAAGCUUAGUUUUUUUUUUUUUGUUAUGUAUGAUUGCAUGAUUUCCCCCUUUUAAGAUUUUAUCUCAUAAAAUUUUUUUCUAGAAGGUUCAAAUAAGUUUGAUGAAUAUUGUUUAUUUUAGUAAUUUUAAUUUUAUGGGGUACUUAAAACAUUAGAAGUUCACAAAAAGCAACAUUUAUCAGCUACCUAUCUAAAAAGCUUGGCCUAAUCAUUGAAAUCCAAAAUAUAAAGUGACAACACACUUUUUAAAGCAAUUUUCAAAAUAGUUUUUAAAAACACAUUUAUUUAUGAUAUUUUUAAAAUAAAAAUCUCAAAAAUAACUUGUUUAUAUUACUUUUUAUUAGACAAAUACUUGAUCUUUAUAAGAUCACCCUAAUUAUAGAUUUAUGAACAUGUAACACAGCAAUUAUCUAUAUAUAUACUUAGAAUUAUUAUAUUUUAAGUUUUUAACUACAUAGGACAUCAUGAGUUUUUCCACCAUUUAUCUUAUAAUAAGUUUAUUUAAAUAUGAUAAAGGAUAUAUUAUCUCAUUUCUUAUUAUAUCUGAUGCUAUAUAUAUAUAUAUAUAUAUAUAUAUAUGUAACAAAUCAAAUACAAUUUAAAGAUUUUAAUUAACCAUCUAUUAGCAACAAAGCAAUCUCUUAAUCUCAUUCAUAAUAUUAGGAUAAUUUAGUAUUUCCUUUUAUAAAACACUAGCAUAUAAAUCAGCACAAAUCAUAUUAAGGGUGUAUUUGGUGUUGAUUUUAGAAAGCGUUUUUAGUAUUUCUAAUACUUGAAAGAUAAAAAUUUUCAAGUUUUAGAAAGAUCAAAAGCGCUUUUUAGAAUGACUAUCAAAUACAUGCUAAAUAUUACUUUUGGAUACUUAUAUUUUUAAAUAACUCUUAAAACUUUUAAGGCAAGUCUCUACUAUUCAUAUAAACCCCCUAUUAUUUUUAAUUCUUAGAAACAAAAAAUAAAGAAUAAAAACUCCAUUUAAACAUCACCUUAUUAUUUCCUAUUAUAAAAUAACACAAAUCAAAUGAAUUAUUUAAAAAUAAAUAAAUAUAAAAUCAAAGUUGAAGAGAAAAAACUCUUGUGCAUUAAAAAAACAUCAAAAUAAAUAAAUAAAUAAAUAAAUAAAACAUCAUCAAAUAAAUGUAAAAAUAAAUUAAUGUUAUGGAAAAAUGAGAAUAGGCAACAAGAAAAUAAGAACACAGAUUUACAUGAAAAAUGCUAGAUGGGAAAAACCAUGGAUAGAGGAGAAGAAAAUCCACUAUAUUAAAAAUUUGGUAUAAAAUGUGACAGAAUCAAGUGAGUAUUGUAUAGGCAUAAUCACUAUGACCCUAAAUCCUAUACAUCAUCGCAUAUGUAUGGUGUAUGCGAUAAUAUUUGUGAUAAUAAAAAUAUUGUCGCAUAAAAUAACUAUGGGAUGUAAUAUUUGUAAUAAUAUUCUUUACAAAAAAAAUAUUUUUUCUUUGCUUUAUUCACUUUGAUCACAACUUGAAAUAAGACAAUAAAAAUAUUUUCUUAAUUUUUGAAAAUUAAUUGAGGACUUAGAGCUACUUGUUACUGAGUGAAUUUGCUGAAUGGUGAAGAAUGUGUGUAUAGUAGUUUUGCAAUUUUUCAAACUUGUAGACAUAUUUUGUGAAGUCUUUUUCUCUUUGUAAAGCCCCAUUUUCUUUGUGUAGUUAUUUUUUCAAUAUUCUCUUUGGAAGGAAUUUACCAUUAGUUAUAUAGGUAAGAUUAAGGAAUUAAAUUUGGAAUUCUUAAGAUUUGAUUGCUUAAUUCAAAGAAUUUGGUUCAAGGGAAAUUUGCCAACAAAAUAAUAUUUAUUUUUAAUUCUAUGAUGACUUUAAUUAUUUGAUAUAAUUUUAUUUUGAAAGACUUGAUGUGGGGGACUCAUCACUUAUUGAGUCCAAAUUUUGUUGCACCCAAAUUUUUAUGAGCUAAGAAACCAUAAUUUUAAAGACCAAUUCAGUGGUAAGUGAAUCUGCUAAAAUCUUCUAUGUACAAAUGACCUCACUUCAAGGUGCAACACAUACAUGUAUUAUUAUGUGUAUGGGAUGAGUCUUGAAGUUAGUCUUCAUUCUUCUUUGAUUUUUUUUUCUUCAAAUAAAUAAAUAAAACAUCAUCAAAUAAAUGUAAAAAUAAAAUAUGUAUCGGUUAAUUGGAGAGGAGAGCUUUAAGGGCAUUUCUUCUAUGAAAUUCUAUGCUCCACGUACCAUAAAUUUGUACUCAACCAACAAAAUUACAGAAUGGGUCCAUGCACAAACAAAAAUAACUCAAAUGUAAAUAUCUAAAAAUGUAUAAAGUUCACAAUAGAUAUUCAAGCCCAAAUUUAAAUUUCAAAUUAGUCCAAUAGAUUUCAUCAAUCAAAAUGGGUCCAAAUUAGCAAAUAUAACCCAACAAAAAUAUCUCAUAUGUCAUAGGCCCUAAUUUAAAAUUUUCAAAUUAAUAGCCAAAAUAUAAGUUCAAUUAAUCAAACCCAAAACAUGAUAAAUUAAAAUAAAUCUCAUUAGGCCUAUACUUAAUAUCCCAUAAUUCAAGCCUAAUUUAAUAUAUAAACCUAAAUCCACAAUCAAAAUCAACCCAAUUUAUGCUAAUCCCGAUUUACAAUCAAAAUCAAACAUAAUUUAAUAAGUAAAUAACUAAAUAAAUUAAGCAAACUCAAAACACCCAAACCACUACAACAUAAAUCAAACAAUAAUAAAUAUAAUGACAAUAAUAAUAAUAAUAAUAAUAAUAAUAAUAAUAAUAAAAUAAAAUAAAAUAAAAUAAAAAAAUUUAACUCAUGUCGGAGCCAGUUUGAAUGUCUUGGGAAAGAAAGAAAAUGAGAGAAAAGUGAGAGAUGAUUGACAACUGACAGUGGCUCACUGGCGACGACUGGCUAGUGGUCCUACCGAUGGUAGUGAGGAUUGAUUGGUUUUUGGGAAAAAAAAUAAAAUGAAGAAAAGAAAAUGAGGUGUAAUAAAAAAAUGGAGAAUUGAGAGGAAGGUGGGAGAAGAAUGGAGAGAGAGAACAUAGAAAAUGAGUGAAAAGAAAUGAGGCUAGUUGGAGGAGGAAGUGGUAGUGUGUGAGCUAAAGUGAAGAAGAAUAGAAGAAGAAAAUGGAGAAGAAUGGGGAAAAAAAAUCCGCCUCCUUAAAUGAAGAGAGGUGGGUAGCCUAAAGAAGAAGAAAAAAUAAAAUAAAAUAAAAUGGGGAGAAAAUGAGAGGGGGUCGGUGGUCUUGUGAAUGAGGUGGUAUGCGUUAGAGAGAGAGAGUGGGUGGGGUUGUUGGGGAAGGUAUGAGAGAGAGAGGAGAGAGAAAAGAAAAAAAAGAAAGAAAAGAAAAAAGAUAAUAUAAAAUAAUAAUAAUAAUAAAAUAAAAUAAUAUACAAAAUAAUAAAAACUAAUAAUUAAAUAGUGAGUGGGCAAAAAAUAUCAUAUGUAAUCGGGAUUUAAUUUUAAGAGUAAAAUUGGGUUAAAAAUUAAUGUAAAAUAAAAUUAGGACAAAUUUUGGGGUAUACAAAUAUGCGCCUCUUCGGUAGAGUCCACGAGUAAAGCAAGUGUAUAUGUGAGCAAAACAAAGUGGGCUCUACUGAAAAACAAGACAAACCACCAAAUUUGUCUUAAUAUGACAUGAACUCUCCCAAAAAAAAAAAAAAAAAAAAAAUCUAAAACCCUACAAAAAUGGCCAAAACGGAAACUCCUAAGGUGCCUUUAAAGUUAUACUAUGGAUCUAGACUCCCUUAGAAAAGCCUCCAAAAAUGGCCCAAAAAUCGGUGUCAAAAUCGAGUAGCAAUCAGACCACUAAGGAGCACAUGAACGAAUGCAUACAAAGGGAAAAAAACCAUACGUGUACCAUACGAUGACAAAAGGCAUAAGGUAUCCAACAAUAUGACUGAUUCACGUGUUACGAGCUCAAAGAACUUUGUCAUGCACCAUGGAGGAAGGGAAACUCUAGAAUAAUGUGAUGAGGAAGUUAUUAGCACAAUGUAAUAGAGUGAGGAAAAAAGUGAUGAGUGCAAAGCUGUGAGGACAAGGUGCACAAUGCUAAUGAAUAUGAAAUGAAUAGCACUAGGCUAUAAUGCAAUGAAUAGCUCAGGGUUGUACCAUAAUGAACAAGUCAAGGAUGUGUAAAGAUGAGGAACAACUCAAGGUUGUAAUGCAAUGAACAACUUAGGGUUGUGAAUGCAAUGAACAGCUCAGCGCAAUGAAUGAAAUGAAUAGCUCAGGGCUGUGAAUGCAAUGAACAACUCGAGGUUGUGGAUGUAAUGAACAACUCAUGGUCAUGGAUGCAAUGAACAGCUCAGGGCUGUAGAUGAACAACUCAGGGUUGUGGAUGUCAUGAACAACUCAAGAAUAGGGGCACUGUACACCCAAAAUGGGAGAUCACGGUCUACGAUUCCAAGUCAAACCACUAAAGGGUGACCAAAAUGAGGGUGAUCAACUCACUAAAAAAGAUGAUCAAAAUGUCUUAAGGGAGAGGAGAUGCCCCAGAUGAAACUUAAAGGAAGUGAGUAGUGCUAAUGAAACUAAAAAAAGAAAAAAUGUCACAACUGAAAUUGAAAAAAUAGCAAACUUAGAUUAAAGUGCAAUGAACAACUUUGGGUUGUGGAUGCGAUGAACAGUACCUUGUUGUAAUGAAAUGAAUAACUCUAAGAUAUGGGCAUUGUACGCCUAAAGAGGGAGAUCGUGGUUUACGACUCCAAGUCAAACCACUAAAGGACGACUAAAAUAAGAUGAUCAACUUACGAUAAAUGAGAAUGCAACUAUCUCGAGAAAAAGGGUAUGCCCCAAAUGACACUCAAUAGUAAAAGAAUGACACAAAUGAAACUAAAACAAGAGGAUGCCACAAAUGAAACUGAAAUGAUAACAGACUCAGUACUAAUGUGUAAUGAACAACUUUGGACUAUGGAUGCAAUGAAUAGCACUGGGUUGUAAUGAAAUGAACAACUCUAAGAUGUGGGCACUAUACGCCUAAGAAAUGAGAUCAUAGUUUACGACUCUAAGUCAAACCGCUAAAGGGCGACUAGAAUAGGAUAAUCAACUCACUAAAAAUGAGGAUGCAACUAUCUCGAGAAAGGGGGUAUGCCCUAAAUGACACUCAACAGUAUAAGAAUGACAUAAAUGAAACUAAAAUAAGAGGAUGCCACAAAUAAAACUAAAAUGAUAACAAACUCAAAACUAAUGUGCAAUGAAUAACUCUAGGUUGUGGAUGCAAUGAACAACACUGGGCUGUAAUGAAAUGAACAACUCUAAGAUGUGGGCACUAUACGCCUAAAGAGGGAAAUCACGGUCUACGACUCCAAGUCAAACCACUAAAGGGCGACUAGAAUAGGAUGAUCAACUCACUAAAAAUGAGAAUGCAACUAUCUCGAGAAAAGAGGGAUGCCCUAAAUGACACUCAAUAGUUAAAGGAUGACACAAAUGAAACUAAAACGAAAUGAUACUACAAAUGAAACUGAAAUGAUAACAAACUGAUAACUAAAGUGCAAUGAACAACUCUAGGCCGUGGAUGCAAUGGACAGCUCAAGAAUAGGGGAACUAUUCGCCCAAAAUGGGAGAUCGUGGUCUGCGACUCUAAGUCAAACCACUAAAGGGUGGCUAAAAUCAAAAUGAUCAAUUCACUAAAAAUGAGGAUCUGAACAUCUCAAGAAAGGGGUUAUGCCCCAAAUGAAACUGACAAUAGAGGGAUGCCCUAAACAGACUGAAAAAAGGAGGAUGCCUUAAACAAACUAACGAAAAAUGGAUGCCCUAAACAAAUUGACGGAAGUGAAAUGCCCUAAAUAAACUGACCAAAGAAGAAUGCACUAAACAAACUCCAAGAAAAAAAAAGAAGAAGUAUGCGAUAUAGAAUCAAAAACACCUAAAACAAAAACAAGAAACAAAGAAUGUGGUUUACAACUAGAAACACCCAAAAGAACCUUAAAGAAGUGACUGGGAUAAUGAACUUAAUGAAAAUGGGGUAUGCCACAGUAAAAGACUCGGAAGUAUCAGCAAAUGGAUCAAACGACCAUGAAAUCAAUAGGAGAUAUGAUGAACCCAAAAAGGGCGUAUGCCCCAACAAAAGAACACUAAAAGGGGGGUAUGCCUUGAUAUGACGACUCACAAUAAUUAAGAAAUGGAUCGAGUAAUGAGAAAAUCUGCAAAAUAUCUUAUGAACUCAAAGAUGGGGGUAUGCCCCAGUGUAAAAUAGUGACCAACAUAAGACACAGAAUGUCACCAUACAAUACACUCUGGGAUAUGCUCAAUGACAAUGUAAUGAAAACAAUAGCCUCAAUCAACAAAUGUUCAAGCAAGACCAUGCAUCACAUAAACUAAAAUAAUAGGCUAAACAAAUGCUAACCAAGUCUCUCAAUCUGAAAUGUAAGCAAGUCAAGACAUGACAUGUCAACCAUCGACAUGAAAACAUCAUCACAAAUACAUCAACAAACUAAUAGUCCCUACUAUCAUGGAAGAUGUAGAACCUAACGUCCAAAGGCAUGUGAAAACUCAACCAAAAAGCUCAAGACUAGUUUGCAUCCUCCUCUAAUAAAAAGAAUGAGAUAAGGUCAUGUAGGAUGAUGAAAUAGGCAAGCUCAAUAUUCGUUAGGCUCUACCAAGAUGGAUGUAGGUAUAAUAGUGUCAAAGGUAGGAUGUCUAGAUGUCCAACGAAGGAAACUGGGUAUCCAAGUCAAACCAAGUAUGUUGAGGAAACUGAAGCCAUAGGACAAUAACUUUAUGAUCCAUUGAAAAUAGCAAUCAUGAAUAGAAGGUCGAGUCUCGAUGUCAAAAUCAACAAGGUGGCAUUGCCCCAGUAUGAAUACAUCUUCUCAAAAUGGGUAAACCCUCAGUGCAAGAUAAUCUCUAGAUAGUAUGUGUCUAGUAUAAACUGUCAUCUCACAAAAUCUAUCACUGAUGAGUGGGCUAUACCCCAGUGUAAGCAUUUCCAAAUCAAACAUCGAUGAGAGGAGUACAACCAAUCAUACAUAAUAUGAUCAAAACAAAUCUCCACUCCUCAAAGUCAUCAUGGUAACGUGAAGAGAGUAUCUAACCUCAUUUAAAGAAAGAUCAUGUCCCAAUGUGAAAAAUAUCAAGCAAAGUGGUAUGUCUCAACAAAAAUGCACUCUAACAUGAUCAUGCCUAGAUGUAAGCUGGUAUCUUUAAGAUCAAUCACCAAUGAAAGGGUUAUGCCCCAGUAUAGGGCAAUCUCUGAAAUGACUAAAAUCCGCUACAAGCUCUCACAAGUGUCUAUGUCAUGAACCAAUCAUCUCAAAAAAUAAAUAAAUAAAUAAAUAAAUCUAUCAACAAUGAUGAGAAGGUUAUGCUAUAAUCACAUCAAGAAAAUCACUCGGUCAUAUCUUGUACUCCAAUGUGAAAGGAAAAUAUGAUCACCUCUAAAGAAUGGCUAUGCCCCAAAAUACAUCAUCGAUUGAGAAAUAUGCCCCUACGUAAAGUACAUCAACUGAAAUAUGCCAAUCAUGCCUCAUGUUCCAAUGUGAAAAAUGACAUAUAAUAUUCUUUGAGGGAUGGUCAUGACUCAAAAUCCAUCAUCAGUUGAGAGAAGUAUGCCCCGACAUAAUGGUCAUCUAAAAAAUCAAUCUCCGACUAAGAAAUGUGUGCCUUGAUGUGAUGUAUCAAGCAAACUGGCUGCAUACCCCAUAAAAAACUCUCUAAGGUGGCUAUGCUCCAAUGUUGGAUCAUACCACAACUCCUGGUCUAUCACAAUCAAAAUGCUCUCCAACCAAUCCCAAGUAUCGCCCACAUGAGAGCUAUCAAACACAAUGUGUGAUGUCAUGGCCUCAAGGUGGUCUUAAGAUUCAGGACGUAACGUAGGCUAGGGUAAUAAGGUGAAGAAAUGAAGGAAAACUAGGCUUAAUAAUCCUAAUGAUAAAACCCCAUACCCUUAUGUAUAAAAUGCAAUAUGUGCAAAGAGUCUUAUAAACCAUGGAUCUAAGGACACCCAAUAUGAAUAUAUCAGUGAGGAAGAAAGAAUCUAAGAUGAAUAUAUCAAUGAUAAAAGAGAAGAAAUGAAGAAUAUCAAACUGCUGAUGGGAUGUAUAAGAAUGAUGUGUGGAAAAUAUUGAACAUGGAAUGUAAAUUGAUAUGAACAAAGAACAAUGUAGGCAAGGCAAAUGCGAUAUCAUGAUAAGAACAAAUAAAUCGAAGAAAAAUGAAUGAACACUAAUCCACUCAAAUCAAGUCAUGGAGAAUAGUCAAAUCACCAACGUAUGUAAUGAUGGAGAAGACAAUGAUUCGAAGUCCCUAGGAAAAUGUCACUUGUUUGUCACACAUAAAAUACAUAACGAGAUAGACACAAAAAUAUGAGAGUUUUUUGAAAGUUCACAUACGAACUUUCAUAAGCAACUAACUCAAUAAAGCAACCUCAAUGACCAAUAUAUACACUCAAUAAAGGAUGACACUGUAUACAUGUGUUUAUUACUUUUUCUUUUUCAUUUUUUUCAUUUUUGUUUUUAUUUUUUUUCUUUUGCUCGCGCAUACUCUGAAUAUCAAUAAAUGAACUUCUCUGAGAAUACAUAAUGAAAUGGAUAUACUCUCAAACAAUGAUGUAAGCGAACUCUCUCUGACAAGAUGACCCUCUAAAUUAAGGAUUUUCAAACUAACGUCCAUGAGAUAGGAGUGGAAGGGGAUAUGACCAUCCUCCCUGCACCGAAAUGUGAAAAAUCAUCACUCAGGGCACAAAAAAAUGUGAUGAAAAAAAAUAAAAAAUGAAACAAAAGAUAUAAACAAUGAAGUAUGAUGAAGACUGAUGUUGGGAAGACAAAAAAAUAGUGAAGAAUGUGAGCCAAUAAGUCCACAACUCAUGAAACUCUCGAAUAAAAUAUAUAUAUACACCAAAAGACCCUUAUCCCGGUGUAAAAUGUGAGCAAGGAUAUAAGAAAGAAAAGACUAUGGUGCUCAUGUGAGGUUCAAAGGGCUAGCAACGGUCCAAAUGUCAAUAAAGGUAAUAGGGUGUGAGCUAACCAAAAUGAAGGCCACCUAUGAUGGUCUGAAACAUCAUGCUCUUAAGCUUUCAAUGAUCAAUACUGAAAAUCGAUGUCCAUUUGAUAUAAACACGUCAACCCUUUGGAAUUGUGCGCCAAACCAUACUCCAAAUGCUCCAUAAUAAUCUCAAAGAUAAUCCUCUCAAAGCAAAGUAAAUAGCGAUCUCAUAAGGCACAACUACUCAUCACAAGCCAACUCUCAUCAUGCAAGAUCAAUCUCUAUUUUCAUGGAAAAAUAAGUGACAAUCUCAUCAGGUAAUCGACGAAUCCUCACAUCAUAAACCAACCAAAGAUCAUAAGUCAUUCAUUGCCAUGCAAGAUCAAUCCCAGACUCAAACUCCUCAUACUCUACCUGGUUGGAUUAGAGAAGAAAUGGGCAAAACUAGAAAAACUGAAGAUGGAAAGGUCAUAUAAUGGUGUCAAGGGUGAUGUUGUGCAAAACUCACAAUGGAUGGAUGUAGGUCAAAGCAAAGUCAAUGUGUGAGAGUGAGUAAGGCACUACUCUGAUCAUAAGAAGAUGGGUCACAAUCUCAAACUCCUAAGGUCAAAUCUCCGAUCCUAGGCUAAUAAGCUCAACAUCCUCCAUGAUAGGUCAACCCCCAAGAUCACAAUGUGCAAAUGAAUAGAUGCCUCAAGUCAAAAGUACAACACAUCAUAUGAUAUAUGGUCCUACGAUGACAAUCUAAAACUGGAAAUAUGUUAGAAACUCUAAGGUCAUAAACGUGUCCACUGUGAGAUGACUAUAAAUGUGACUAAGGAAUCUUUAUCAAUAAUCCAAAAAAUGAAUGAAGUGUGAAAAACAACACUAUCAUGAGAUCGAUACCCCAUCAAUAACAAAAUAUCUCUAAUUCACUUUCAAUCUAAACUCUAUAAAGAAAAACGAUAAGGUUAUAAAGGCAAACCUCUCAAAAAUGGUGUGAAUGUGAAAACAUGUCUUCACCUUUCUAUAAUGAAAAUAUCAUGUUGAAAAUAGAAAUAGGCAAAUCGACCAAAGAAUGAAGUACGGAGCCCAUGACAAGUGAAGAAUGUAAAAAGGUGAACAUGAUCAAUGAACAUAUCCCAAAACAUCAAGCAUAAAGUGACAACAAACCAAAAGAAUGUGUCAACUUAAGAAAAGAAGACUAUCUGAAGCCCCAGGGAAAAAGUGUGCUAGACUCAACGAGCGACAAGAAGAAACUAAAACCAUAUAGCAAGAGGUGGUCCAACUGAUACUCAAACUCGUACCAAUAUCUAAGCACUCUCGACUGGAGACCAAAAGAUGGAGUAUUGGAUCCAUAUUGUGACUAAAGUGGCCUCGAAGGCUCUCAGAUGCACCCACGUGUAGGAAAGGAAAUCCUAGUAAAAAUAUCUAAGGCUUAACCUACAAGGUCAAGGCGGCUCUAAAAAGAAAAAUUGAGUGGACUUUAAAGGAUUCCUAGCAAAAGCGAUCAUACCCUCCGAUGGUACGCAACCUCCUACACGUCUUGAAAUAUAUGGGAGUGAUUCCAUGCAAGGUGGUCAUCACCUCCACACAUGCACUAUCUCAUAUCCUAGAGGGUUUCCUAAUGAUGAAGACUCUUACAUCUCUCAACACUUAGUGGUAAUCUAAGGUGCACAGUGAAUGGUGUGGGUUCAUCCAAAAAUCCUAUCAAGCUAAGCAAAGAGAAAACACAUUGGUCACACAAAUAUCUUGAAAUAUAGCUCUAACCUAUACAAGUCUUCAAAGAUUGGACUCCAAUUAGCAUUAAUGUUUCGACCUUCUCCAGAAUGCUCCCAAACAUAGAUAUAGUCCAUCACUAAAUCCUACUCCGAAUCACUAGCUCGGUCGAAGAGCAAACAAAGUAAUAAGUCUCAUAUCAAAUAUGAGAUCAAGGGGAACAUGGUCACCCAAGACUAGGGAAUUGAAGUAAGGGGAUAGAUGUGUGUCCCACAUAGAAAAGCAACAUGCAUCACACAGAAGAAGAAUAGUCAUGCAAUAGACAACCAAGCAAAGAACAGGUAUAUCAUUCAUAUCUACACACAAGCUAAACAAGAAAUAGGUAUUUAACAAGAAUAAACAAUAUGUUGAGAUAAACAAGAUAAUAUACAAUAAAGAGAAUCAAUCACACCAAUAUGAAUGAGAUAUACAAAAAUGAGAAUAUACAUGUCAAGGAGAACAAGAUAAUCAUACAACAAGAAGAGUCUUAUGUUAAAGCAAGCAAGAGAAUCAAUCGAUGUAGUCAACAUGUCAAUAUCGCAAAUGAACAUAACAACCAAAUAUGCAUCAUAAAGAAAAAAUGGUAAUCAUGCAGCACACAGUCAUACAAAACAAAUACAAACAAACAUAAGCAAAUAAAUGUAAACACACAUGAUAACAAAAAUCAAUGUAUAGUAAGGCACAUGCAAUAUAUACAUAAAAUAAUCAUCAAGUCAACACUCAUAUACCUUAAAACAUGAAAAUAUACAAUAAAGACACAACGAGAGGGUAUUCACUGAUCGAUUAAUCAAACACUACAUUUCCCUUAACUCAAGUUCAAGUUUGAUCCUUUAAAUAUCCCUAGUGGAGUCGCUAUUUUGUGGACCCACAUUUUUCAAAUGCGUCCUUACACAACAGCGAGACUCAUUUUUUUUAUUUGGUGAAAAUUUGAUUUUGAGAAAAAAGACUUUGAGUUGUCACUUAUUUUUGUUUUUUUUUAAGGGAAAACAAAACAAGAAAGAAAACCUUGUGUGACUCCUUAUUUGGGAAAGACAUGUAUGCAAAAACCAAAUCUGGAUUCGGGGGUCAAGUUACCUAUUGGGAAUGUACGAUGGUGAGCUGUAGCACCUCUCUAAGCUCAUAUACGUACGGUCUCUACUAAACGAAUUAAGAGAAUUGUAGUAAUUAAUUAAUUAGUCAAGGAUACCAAGAAAAAGAAUCGCACAAAUGAGUACAUACAAAUCAUGAUAAAAAAAAUCAAAUUAUAAGAAUAGACAAAAUAAAUAACAAGAGAAUUGUGCAAAGUGAUUUAUUAAACUAAAUAAAAAAGAAGAUAUUAAAAAAAUUAGUUUUCAAGAAAUUUCAAAGGAUUUUAUUAAAAUGAUUUUGAAUUAAUGAUUUUAAUUUAUUUAUUUACAAAAAAAAGUCAAUUUAUUUUCUUCAAUUGAUUUGAUUCAAUUUCAUUUGUAUUCAAUUUUUUUUUUAAAAAAAAAAAGUUAUUUACACUCAUGGUUGUUAAAAGAAUUAUUAACAAAAUUUCAAGUUGACAAUAAAAAUGAUUUUUACUUGCUUUUACUCGAAAACAAUGAAUUUUUACAAUUUUAUUAACAAAAGCAUUUCAAUUUAAGAAAAGUGACUUAAACAAAUUAUUAAAAAAAUAUAACUUUAUCUGCAAAAGAAUUUUUAAUUAAAAAGAAAAAAUUUAAAUCAUCUAUUUCUAAAAAUGACUUUUAAUCCCAUUUUAAUUAAGAAAAUUUGAGUUAUUUAAAAAAACAUUUUUUGGACAAUUUGAAUAAAAAUUAAUUUUUGGGACAACUUUAUUUACAAAAAAAAUUUUGGACAAUUAUUAUUAAAAACAAAAUUUCAAAUUCUAUUAAAAACAAUUUUUUGGAUUUUUCCAAACACAUUUUUAUGAAUUUUUAUUAAUAAAAAACUUUUUUUUAUUAAGAAGAAUAUUUUUUGAGCUAUUAUUUUAUUAAAACAUGUUUAUUGAAUUAUUCUUCUUAUUCAAACAAAAUUUUUAAUUUGUUCAAUAUCUAAUUCUGUACACAACAAGUAAAUAUAUACAAACAAAUAUUUAUAAAAACCAAUAAAAAUAAAACCAAAUAGAAGUGAGAAAUAAAACAUGUUCUUAAACAAGCUUACAACAAGCUCAAUGUCUUCUUACGACUUUUCGAGUCUCACUUUCUUUCAUUAAAUUUUAUGCUCCACGUACCAUAAAUCCGUACUCAACCAAAAAAAUUGCAGAAUUGGCCCAUGCAAAAACAAAAAUAACACAAAUGUAAAUAUCUAAAAAUGAAUAAAGUUCACAAUAGAUAUUCAAGUCCAAAUUCAAAUUUCAAAUUAGUCCAACAAAUUUCGUCAAUCAAAAUAAGUCUAAAUUAGCAAAUAUAGCCCAACAAAAAUAUCUCACAUGUCAUAGGCCUUAAUAUAAAAUUUCCAAAUUAAUAACCAAAAUAUAAGUUCAAUUAAUCAAACCCAAAACAUGAUACAUUAAAAUAAAUCUCAUUAGGCCUAAACUUAAUAUCUCAUAAUUCAAGCCUAAUUUAAUAUAUAAACCUAAAUCCACAAUCAAAAUCAACUCACUUUAUGCUAAUCCCAAUUUAUAAUCAAAAUCAAACAUAAUUUAAUAAGUAAAUAACUAAAUAAAUUAAGCAAACUCAAAACUCUCAAACCACUAUUGCAUAAUAUCAAACAAUAAUAAAUAUAAUGACAACAAUAAUAAUAAUAAAAUAAAAUAAAAAAAUUUAACUCACGUUGGAGCCAGUUUGAGUGUCGUGGGAAAGAAAAAAAAUGAGAGAAAAGUGGGAGAUGAUCGUUAGCUGGUAGUGGCUUGCCGGCGGCGACUGGUCGAUAGUCCUACUGGCGGUAGUGAGGAUUGAUGAGUUUUUGGGAAAGGAAAAAAAAAGAGGAGUAAUAAAAAAAAAAAAAGAGAAAUGAGAGGAAGGUGGGAUAAGAGGGGAGAGAGAGAAUGAAGAAAAUAGGGGAAAAUAAAUGAGGCCGGCCGGAGGAGGAAGUGGUAGUGUGUGUGAGCUAAAGUGAAGAAGAAUGAAAGAAGAAGAAGGAGAAAAAUGGGAAAAAAAUUCGAGCCCUCUAAAUGAAGAAAGGUGAGUAGCUUAAAGAAGAAAAAUAAAAAUAAAAAAAGAAAAAAUGAGGAGAAAAUGAGAGGGCCAGUAGUCUUGGGAAUGGGGUGGUAUAGGUGAGAGAGAGUGGGCGAGGUUGUUGGGGAAGGUAUGGGAGAGAGAGGAGAGAUAAAAGAAAGAGAAAAAAAAACAUAAUAAUAAUAAUAAUCAUAAAUAAUAUAUAAAAUAAUAAAAAUUAAUAUUUAAAUGAUGAGUGUGUCAAAAAUAUUAUAUGUAAUUGGGAUUUAAUUUUAAGAGUAAAAUUGAACUAAAAAUUAAUGUAAAAAUAAAAUUUGAACAAAUUUUAGAAUCUACAAAUACAUUCUUUAAUCUUUCCACAACAUCAAUCUGAUCUAAAUGAAAUGCAAUAAAUUCUAAAAAUGAUACAAUCUUUAAUCAAUCCACAACAUCAACCCGAUCAAAACUCAAUGCAAUAUUGCUUAAUGGAGAGAAUCGUAAAAUCCUUUUAUGAGAGGAAAAAAAAACCCUUAACAGACCUUUAUGAGAGGAAAAUAGGAAAACAUAGAACUAAAAACCCUUAACGUAUUCAUGAGAAUAAAAAAAUCCUUAACACCUUAAUAAGAGGAAAACAAAGAAUUUGAACAAUCCUUAAUCCAUCAAAAGCUCUUAAUAUGAACGAGGGGAAAACAUAACCUUUAUUUUUCAUAUCAUUGAAUACAGAAUCUAAAGAGAUAGAAUUUUUAGUUAUUAAGGAUUUUUUUAUAAAUGUCUAUUGAAAGUUUAAGAACUUUUAUGGAUAAGUGUUAAUUAAGAGACUGAAAGGGUACUUAGGAUUUUCAACUAAAAAAGUUAUAACAAUAUGAAUCGUAAGAACUUAAAAACAUCACCCAUCCAUAAGAGGAAUAUGGAAUGAGAGGUUAUUUUUUUACUUAUACAACAAUAAACUUUUUUGGAAGAGGUUUUUCUAAGUACAAAAAGUUAUGAAUAAAAAACCAUUGUUACGAUGAGUUAACUAAAAUAGAAUUAAUUUAGAAAAUAUCAAUAAAGUUGCAUGAAUUAUUAUCAUGAGUUAACUUAAUAAGAAUAAAUAGUAAUAAAGUUAAUGAAGUGAAUUUGGAUUGGCAGAUAUAUUUGAUGAUAAGAUUUUUUUAAUAAUAAAAAAUUAUUAUGGCAGGAAAAAUAGGACAAAAUUGACCUUAUGAUAAGAUUUUUUUAAUAAUAAAAACAUUAUUAUGGUAUGAAAAAAAGGGACAAAAUUGGCCUUUCCUUAAUUGUACCGGUUAAUGGAAUAAUGGGACAUGCGGUGGUUACAAGCCACCCCAAAAGGUAGGAAGAAUCUCCAACCCCCAUUCUCGGCUCCCUUAUCUUUUCCCUUACAACCAAAAAUCAACAACUAUCUUAGAAUGUCCUUCAGUCCACCAAAAUUCAACAACAACAUUACAAUAAUGAAAACAAAAUUGAUUGAUCACCAGCUAACAUUAGGAGAUUAUAAGAUAAGGAUGUAAUUGCAAUUAUUGAAAUCACUUAAAGAGUAAAAGUUAGGAACAUGCUCACAAUAAAUAAAAUCACCUUAGAAUUAAAAAUUAGGGACAUGAUUAUGAUGAUUAAAAUCACUCGAGAACUAAAAUGUUUUAGAGAUACAAUAAUUGAAAUCAACUGAAAAAUAAAUUCGGGAUGUGAUCGCAAUUAAUGUAUAUAUAAACAACCAAAUGUUGAAAGGAAAAACUAAUGAAAUUAAUAUGAUUUUCUUUUAGAUUUCUCUUGACACCAAACAAAUGUAAGGAAGUUUAUAAAGGAAAAUUAGGUUUUGAUUCACUAAAUUAAAAUAAUAUAGAAAAAAGAUCUUCAAAUUUUAUAUAUCAGUUUUAUUUUUAUUUAUUUAAAAAUAUUUUAAAAUACAUAUAUUUUUUCAUAACUCAAAUAGUCAUUCCUCAAAUGCUAGUUUUACUUGUUAUGUUAAUAACACUAGUUAAUAAUUUUUUAUUGUGAGAACGAUUUAAGAUUAAUAAAAUAAGAAAAUUUUAAAACUAAAAAGACAUUUAAAACUUUAAAAUUAAAAAUAUAAAAAUAAAACAAUAAUUUUUCAUUUAGUAAAACACGCCAGUAGAAAAUAUAGAUAUAGAGAAAGAGUUGGAAAUAAAAUAAGAGUUAAUAUUUUAUUUUUAAAAUUUUAUGUUUUUUAUUUUAAUUGUAUUUAAUUUUAUGUAUUUUAGUUGUAAUUAUAUUUUUAAUUUUUAAAUUUUUUUUUAUUUUAUUGUUGAUGUAAACUAAUAAAUUUUUUGUUCAAUUAUAUAUAUAUAUAUAUAUAUAUAUAUAUAUAUAUAUUUAAAUUAGUGAGUAAAAACCCACUUUUUCUAAUUUAUAAUAUAUUUAUGGGAUUUUAUAAUAUAAGAAAUUUUUUUUUAGAAAGAGGAAAAAUCAACAUUUCAAUUUCCCUUCAUUAUUAUUAUUAUUAUCCAAUUUGGUUGAUUAUGAGAUUAGUUGGUAUCAUUACUAUAUCCAUUUGUCCUUAACCCUUCAUUAGAAUAGUAUUAGGAGUUGAACGUCAGUUGGAAUACAGGCUAUGGAAACAAAUCUAUCCGAUUAGUAGGUUCUUGUUAUUUUCAAUAUAGACCCCAUAAAAUAAAUAGGAGAUAUGAGAUAAGACUGUGACAAAAUUGGCGGUUACUUCCCGACACCUGGCUCUCCACAAACAAACCCAGUGAUCCAGAAAUUAAUUGGUACCUGGACACGUGACUACCAAACGUUCGCUCACCCACCAUACCCAUGGCCUCAUGCCCCAUAUAUUUCCACAAACCUAGCUCAAUUUUCAUAGCCACCUUCACUGUCCUACACUCACUAAGCCAUGGCCAUAGAUACAAGCCUCUUGCUUGAGUUUGCUGCAGCAACUCUACUCUUCUUCAUCACCCGCUUCUUCAUUCGUUCUAUCCUUCCCAAACCUUCCCGGAAGCUCCCCCCUGGCCCCAAAGGGUGGCCGCUCCUCGGCGCUCUUCCUCUCGUAGGUAACAUGCCUCAUGUUGCAUUAGCAAAGAUGGCCAAAAGAUACGGGCCUGUCAUGUUCUUGAAAAUGGGCACUAACAGCAUGGUGGUGGCCUCAACUCCCGAGGCGGCUCGGGCUUUCCUUAAAACGCUAGACAUUAAUUUCUCUAGCCGCCCGCCUAAUGCCGGUGCCACACUCUUGGCCUAUCAUGCCCAAGACAUGGUUUUUGCGGAUUAUGGGGCAAGGUGGAAGCUACUGAGAAAGCUAAGCAACUUACACAUGCUUGGUGGAAGGCUCUUGAGGACUGGUCUCAGGUCCGAGCUGUUGAGCUAGGCCACAUGCUUCGAGCCAUGCUUGAGUUGAGCCAGCGAGCGGAGCCGGUGGUGGUGCCGGAGAUGUUAACUUUUUCCAUGGCCAACAUGAUAGGGCAAGUGAUACUAAGCCGCCGGGUGUUUGAAACAAAAGGGUCGGAGUCAAAUGAGUUCAAGGACAUGGUGGUGGAGCUCAUGACCACUGCUGGGUACUUCAAUAUUGGCGAUUUUAUUCCGUCCAUCGCAUGGCUGGACAUCCAAGGGAUCGAGCGCGGGAUGAAGCAUUUACAUAAGAAGUUCGACAAGUUAUUGACAAGGAUGAUAGAGGAGCACACGGCAUCAGCCCAUGAGCGCAAGGGAAACCCAGAUUUUCUGGACGUAGUCAUGGGCCAUCAAGGAAAUUCUACAGGGGAGAAGCUCACCCUUACCAACAUUAAGGCGCUCCUCCUGGUAUGCAUAGUUAAAGCUUGUCUUUAAUUUUGUUUUCCGAUAUUUUCUUUCCGGAAACAGCACUUUUAUUGCUUUUAUAUCAGGUAGCCAUUUUAGGGGCACAUCACUGUUCUUUAUUUGCAUUUUUUUUUGUCUUUUUUCACUUGCAUGGUUGUUUUCAUAUGCUCAGCUGCAUGGCACAGGAAAAUUGGGAAAAAUGAUUGGUUCUCUGAUCAGACCUUCUGCACCAAAACACACUUCUCUCUAUUUUAUAAAAUCAAGAACAUUUAUGGUUUACAUGAAUUUUCGAACUUGAACUUUUGCUAGGGCUAAUGCAUGGAUCUCAAUUUUCAAUUGCGUUUGAUUACAUAAAUUUCAAGUAUGUCACCACAUUUUUGUUUCCUUGGCUAGAAUUUAUUUACUGCAGGAACAGACACUUCAUCAAGCGUAAUCGAGUGGUCUCUGGCUGAGAUGUUGAAAAACCCGAGCAUCCUCAAGCGUGCUCACGAAGAAAUGGAUCAAGUGAUUGGAAGGAGCCGGCGGCUCGUGGAGUCUGACUUACCAAAACUUCCAUACCUACAAGCCAUAUGCAAGGAAAGCUUCCGGAAGCACCCAUCCACCCCAUUGAACCUUCCUCGUGUCUCAACCCAGGCAUGUGAAGUGAACGGCUACUACAUCCCAAAGAACACUAGACUUAGCGUGAACAUAUGGGCAAUCGGGCGAGACCCUGAUGUCUGGGAAAGCCCGGAAGAAUUCAGGCCAGAAAGGUUUUUAAGUGGAAGAAAUGCAAAAAUUGAUCCUCGUGGAAAUGAUUUUGAGUUGAUCCCGUUUGGGGCUGGACGAAGGAUUUGUGCUGGCACUAGAAUGGGAAUAGUGCUAGUUGAGUACAUUUUGGGGACGUUGGUACACUCAUUUGACUGGAAAAUGCCGGAUGGAGUUGAGAUCAACAUGGACGAAGCUUUCGGGCUUGCUCUGCAGAAGGCAGUUUCUCUUUCGGCUAUGGUGACACCAAGGCUUCACCAGAGUGCGUAUGCAGUCUGAGCUCAAGCUGUUCAGACCAAAACCCAGGCCUAGCUACUAUAUGGCAUGGAUUUGUUUCAGUUUCCUUUGGGUUAGUAUAACGGUAUAAGAUGUAUUAGCUCAAAGAUUGGGAGUUUCAUUCUACCACCAUGCCAUAUGCCUAUCCGUGAUCUAUAAAUUUAGCUUCAGUUUGGUUAUAGUUUCUAUUUUUCUUUUGUCUUCGUAAUCAGUAAAUAAUAGUAACCUUUAUAUAAAAUAUAGUAACUCUUGCAGCUAUUAUACCAUGUACAAUAAAAGUACAGUGGUUUUGGAAAAUACAAUGAAACAGUGAGUUUGAUUUUUUAUUUUUUAUUUUUUAAUAAAAUAAAAUGUUGGAAAAGAGAAGUAAAUAAAGGAAGAUAUAUUAAGAGUCUAUUUGACAUUACUUAUAAUGAAAGUGUUUUUAUUAUAAGUGUUUUCUUUAUUAUAAGUGUUUAAAAAUCACUUUGAUGAGAAUUUAAAAAAAUGAUUCUAAUAGUGUUUUUAAUAAUAUAUUAUAUAAGUAAAAACCACUUUUAAUAAUAAUAAAUUACUAUAAAAAAAAAGACAUUUAUUAUAAAAAGAAAAUAUUAUAAUAAACCAAAAACUUUUAUUAAAAAAAAUAUAUACAAAUAUUUAAUUGUUAAAAAAACUCAAAAAUUAUUUUUAUGAAAAUGAAGUGAAAGAGGAAGAGGAGAGUAAGAAGAAAAAAGAGAGUUAAAAGGAAAUGGAGGAUAGCGAGAAAUUUUAUUUUAGGAAUAUAUAAAAAAAAUUUGAAAUAUUUUUUUAAAGAAACACCUCUCAAGUGCUUUUCUAAAAAAACACUUCAAGUGCUUUUCUAAAAAAACACUUCAAGUGUUUUUUAAAAUUUUCAUAAGUGUUGUUCAAAAUAUUGUCAAACACAUAUUUUUUUUAUCUUAAAAAAGCAUUUAAGUGUUUUUAGGGCUAAAAGCACUUCUAAAAAGCAUUGCCAAACGAGCUCUAAAUAAUUCAUAUUUCCUUGAAUUUAUAUUUUUAUUUUCUCUCUAUGAAUUUUCCUUUAUUUCAAAUACAAAAUAUAUUUUAAAAGGUUAAUUUUAUUUACUUGUCUUAAGGUUUUUGUUAGAUACACUUAAUUAUCAUUUAUUUGAAAUUUCAUUAAUUAUCUUUCUUAUCCUUUCCGUUUCUUAAUUUGUCAUGUACUUGAGAAAGUCAAUUUCAUUAUCAUCUUUACUUCUUGAACCUUGACUUAAAACUCCAACUUCACACAGGAUAUGAUAUAAAUUAAGAAAAGACUUAUUAAAAGUAGUAACGUUCUACUUUAGUUUAAAAAUGUUAACAAAAAUUAGAGGAGAAUUAACUAAAAUAUACUGAAUUUUAAAUCAAGCUAACAUAUUAUAAACCAUUGGAAAACCCACGUGAUUAAAUAGCUUUCUUGUAGUCUGACAAAGGAAAGAAAUUACCUGAAAAGAAUGGCAAAAAUGGAACUGCAUCUUAUGACCUAUAAUCACAUGAUUUCCACACUUAGAGCAUCCAUUGCCAAGAAAGACGUCGAUCAUAUCACCUUAAUUUUGUAAUAAUUCAAUGCCUCUUUUUGUAAAGCCAUAUCAUAAAUAUAAUGAAAUUAAAAGACAAAUUAAUCAAUCAAAUAAUAAAAUUUUGAAAUUUACAUGGUAGUAGGUGAGGGAAUUGUUCAGUUAAGAAUGAAGAGAGACCACACUCGAGGAAAUAUUAUUGAGGGCAUAGAUGUUGACUUUCCAUAUUCACACCUAAUUAAAAAGGUGAUUAAGAAAAUAAACAAAAACAACCCAAAAAGAGUGAAAGAUAUAUUGUUAGGAAAGAUUGUUCAAAAUGAUCCCGAGUUAUAAAAAUGAACUCUUUCAUUAAGAUGACCUUUUUGAAUACUUUUAUCCUUCUUUUUUUUUUUUCUUGCCUUCAAAAUUAUAAAUCUUUCCUUUAUUUAUGUUAUUUUAUUUACUUUAUUAUUUUUCUAAUUUUUCAUUUAUUUCUUCUACUUACUUUUUCUCUUCUAUGAAGUCUUUCAUCUUUAGUUUAGUCAUGUCUUAUGAAGCUAAUUGUAUUUCCCUCCUUAGCUUACUCUCUAAGUUGUUAGUAAUCCUUGAUCUCAUCUCAUAAUGCACUAUCCCACGAUUCUUUCUUGCAGUCCAUUUUUAUUUUCAUUCAAGGUGUUCAUUAAAAGUACACAAGGGCUAAAUUUAAAUUAUAAGAGUUAAUUUCAAUUACAUUCCCUCAAGUUUUGGCUUAGAUACGCCUUACUUCAACUUAUUUGAAAUUUCAUCAAUUAUCUCUUUUAUUUUAAGUGAAAGGGGAGGUGAGUAUAAUUAAUAAAUGAAAAGGUAGGGGAUAUAUUUGAAGAAAUUUCAAAUUAAUGGGCGAAGGUGUAUUUAGCUUAAAUAUCAGGGAAAGCGAAUUAAAUUAAUCUUAUAAAAAACUUAAUUGAGAUUAAAUUCUCGUUAAGUAUCGUUACUUAAUCUAUCAUGAGAUUAAGUUCAAAAUCAUAAUAUAUAGUGAUGAGAUCUCAAACUUCAUAUCUUAACACAGUCAAUUGAACUUAUCUUGAUGAGUUUGAAGUCUCAAAAUUGUUUUGAGAUCCCUAACUAAAAAUAAUUGCUAAGGCCCUUAAUUUUUUUAUUAAAAUGUCUGUGAGCUUGAUUGAGAUCAAUUUGGAUUACUUUUAGAGAUUCUAGAGGAAUUUAGAAGAAUAUAUAAAGGAAAAAACUUAGGGAAGAUGAAAAGUGCUAGUUAGAGCAGCCUUCUAUUGCACCAGAAGAAGUGGGCGCACCCUUCUACUAUGUCAAAAGGACUUGACGCAUCUGUAUAAGUACGCUAGGAAGGAAAAUAAAGCAACAAGCCGGCCUUUGACUUGAGAAUUGGAGAACCCUCUCCCAGACUUAAGUGGCACACCUUUUAAGUGCGCCAAGGAAAAGAAAGAGUUGUGGCUCAACCCCAUCAAGGAUUGAUAGGCAUACUCCGUCCACUAAAGAUUAAAUGUGUUAGCACAUCUCUUAUCUCUCUCCAUGAACAAAUGGUGCAUUUAAUUAUACAUACACUGUAAGCAUUGGGCUGCCUAUCCGAUGGUGCAAUUCAAAAGCUGUGGCAUGUUUGGUCAACGUAUGAGAAGCAUCCUCUUGCAUCCAACAAUCUUGCAUGGGUGGGGCACACCCAACCUAAGUGUUCUCGAAGUUUGGAUGGUGUUGGAGCUGUUCUUUCCAAACUUCCAGCUUCUUCUUGUCUCACGUUCACCUGCAAUGCAAGGUUUACCCGGUGAAGCCCCGGGCAGACCCCUCCGAUGGUUAAGUCUGUUGGAGUGUGAGAAGCCAACUUCUUUUUAAUUUUUCUUCUUAGCUGUGUUCUUAUACAUCUCUUCACUUACCGCCGGGACCGGAGAUAAUGGGGGCAUUUUCACCACAUCACUGCCCACUUCGCCACCUUCUCAUGGCAGCAAGCUUUUUGGGCUAACCGCUCCCACCAUUUUUGGCGGCUAGCCCCUUCAACACCUUUCACAUUACUUACCAUAUUUCUUUCUGGGCCAGAGACUCUGUCUAGUCCUCCAAAUUCACCUCUUAAUUUUAAAUGCUUGGGCCCAGGCCCAUUGGUCCAAAUUCGGCUCUUAAUUUUUAUCCCUUGGAGGAGUGUUUUUAGUUUUUCUUCUUGAAAUACUUUGCAGGUACAAAACUGUAUGAGCUUUUUGUUCAUGGAGUUCUAUGGGAUUCUUCGAAAAUGAAUGAAAUUCAAUUUUAAAAGAAGUCUUUUGUUUCUUUGCUUGAGUAAUUUUUUACCUUAAGUUUAAUUUCCCUCGCAUGUUCUAUCCAUGAAGCACUAAUUCACUUUACUGUUGUGGGUUGAAAGGGGUUGUAUCCCUUGCAACUCAAUUUAGUCCUCAAUGGUUUCAAAGGGUAGCGGAUAGGGAGGUGAAGUUCAUGAUUGCAGCAAAUGCAUGCAUGUUGUAGCAUUCUGAGAGCCCUAAGCUAAGCAACUCCAUGAGCAUGUUUGUACCUUAUAUAUUUAGCUUUCACUUCCCUUUGAGGUUGAAAAUACUAGGUGUUACACGGAAAAACGAAAAUAGGCAAUAAGAAAAUAUGAAUAAUUUAUGUGAAAAAUCCUAAACAAAAAAACUAAGGAUAAAGAAAAUCCACUAAAUUAAAAAUUGGUACAAAAACAGAAAGAAUCCAACGACUAUUGUAUAAUCCUAAAUCCUAUACACUAUCGCAUAUAUAUAUGAGAAAAAAUAAAUAAAGCAGGUCCAUAUCGUAGGGGCAAUCCUCUGCACCCACAACAAAAUCAAUAAUGGGUUAAAGUAUAAUUUUUCUUCACCAUAUAUAUCAUACCACAAAUUUUUCAAGUCAAACCAAAAAACAAUUCAUAUCAUCAAGCUCUAACAUUAAAAAAAGAUGAAAACAAAUCUUUGUAUUAUGGUUAUGGGAGUAACUUUAAACCUUAAAAUUCUCAUUCAAGCUUUUCCAAAUGAAAUAUAUUAAUAUUAAGUUUUAUUUAAAUAAUCUAUUUUUCCGCAGAUAUAACGAUGAGUUGAAAUUUAGACUUAUUUAAUUUGUUUAUGUCAAACAUUCAAAUCUAAAAUACAUAUAACAAAAGAUCAUGGGAAUUUAUAAUAUAAACAAUUUUUAUGCAAAGGGCCAAUUGUAAAUAAUAGAAUACUAUUUUCAAAAGAGAUCCAAAUCAAGUCGUUGUUUUUAAUAAAUAAAUAAAUAAAAUUUUUGUUUCAUUUGGAAGAUGGUGUUAAAGAGCGACUGAAUCAAAUAACUUGCUCAACCGGCAAAGCUGAGCUGGUCAACUUGACUCGCUUAUAUAUAUACGUAAUUGGGGAAAAAAUGUCAGAUGAGGGGGCGGAUUAGGUCACUUGGGGGGUGCCGGGUGUAGAUGGAAGAAAGAAGUACGUAUAUAAUAAUAAUAAUUGGAGGGUUGACGUUGUCUUGAGAGCAACCGAUGAUGAUAACCCAUGCAGUAUUUUUGUCAUGGGAGAAUUAGGGUGGGGGUGGCCGUAAAAAAUAAUGACUAUGAAGCUCACUAUUUUAAAGGAAAGUUUUACUUUUAAAUAUAUUCUUUAUAUUAUUUAUAAAUAAAUUAAGAUUGUCAAUGAUGUGGGUCCAUAUAUGAUGAUAAGUACAAGUUGAUAAAUUAUGUGGGGCUCAUAUAUGAUAAUAAGUACAGGUUGAUAAACAAUCAACGGUACAUUUCUCAGCUUGAAAAAAUUGUUGUCACUUUUGAACAAUUGACGGUUUAAAAAUUUACUAUUUUUUUUUCAAAAAAAAUUAAGAUUUUUUAAAGAACCUUGCAAAAAAAAUAAUUUUUAAUAUCUCAUAAAUAAAAAUCAUAUCCUAAAGUUAUUAUGUCGUUUUAUAUAUAAAACAUACAAUUAAAAACUUUGUUAUCAUAAUAUAAUGAAUAAUUAUUUUUUAAGAGCACUCAUCAAUUGAAUAACAUAUAAAUAUUCAAUUGACUAAUACACACCUAUUAAAUGAAAUAACUCACAAUUAUUCAUGGGGUAAUAUAGCACGUGAAAAAAUUAAAUAAAAAUAAAUUAAAUUAUGUUGUAAUAUAUUGUAAUGAUAGUGUAUUUAUAUUGUAAGUAUAAUGCAUUUAUAUCGUACCUAUAUUUAAUUAAAAAAGUAAUAAUUCUAAAAAUGUUUAUUCAUACCCUAUUGGUAUUAACACAUCGUAUUAAUAUAUUAACAACAUUUAUUUAGUGUCUUGAAAUUAUUUAAUAAUUUUUUUAUAUAUAUAAACUACGUGAAUUCAAAUUAGUAUUUCAUUUGAUUUCAAAAAUUAUUUAUGAUAUAGGUAUGUUGUGAAAUAUGGUAUAAUCAUAUAAAAUUACAAUUUUAAUAAAAAAUUUCAUAAAUUUUUUAAUUAGGUUUUAUUGUAAUGUAAGUGUAUUUAUAUUGUAAUUAUAACAUAUUUUUGUUGUACUUGUAUUUUAUAAUAAAAGUAAUAAUCUUGAGGAUCAUCUUUUAUACCUUAUUAAUAUUCAACAUAUCAAAUAUAUUAACAUUAUUCACUCGAUGCAUUGAGAAAAACAAAUUUAUAUGAAAUUUAUAAAAAAAAAACACUAUGCAAAGGAAAAAAAAUCAUAUAAAUUUUUUAAAAUUAUUUUAUUAUAAAAAUAAAAAAUGAUUAAACAUUCUCUACCAUUUUCUUAUUCUUUUUAGAGAAUUUGAAUGAAAAAUUAAACAUUUUAUCUUCCUUAAAUUUAAUACAAAAAUAUAAUUUAUCAAUUUAAAAUUAUAAUAUAUAUAUAUAUAUAUAUAUAUAUAUAUAUAUAUAUAUAUAUAUAUAUAUAUAUAUAUAUAUAUAUAUAUAUAUAUGAAAAAAUCAUCAUUUUUAUUAUAUAAUUAUAAAACUUAUUUUAAAAAUUAGAAUAAACAUAAAAAAAAAGGUAAAAAAACAAUAAAUGAUAUUUUGAAAAUAAUUUUUAAAAGUAUUUUUGUUUUAAAUAGUAAAUUUAAAUAACAAAUUAUAUAUAAUUGUAAGAGUUAAACCCAAAAUUUUGAUUUAAAAUUUAAAUAUUAUUAAUUACAAUAAAUAUAGGACCCAUAUACCAUAAAUGUAUUGACAAAUCAAGUGAAGUGCUUUAAAUGCUUUGAAUUUUAAAAGUUUUAGCUAAAGGACAAUUUUGGUAUAUUAAGCCUAUUAAAAUCCUUCUCAAGAAUUAUUAAAAUAUAUCACCCUUUCUAAUAAUUGUUCUGCCUAACCUAUUUUUAGGUAAUUCUCCCUUUUUUUCAUUCUCAUCCAUCUUCACGGGACUUCGUCUACCAAAUAUGACAAAUAUUAUAUUGUUAUAUUGAAUAUAUGUACUAAAAAAUAGAAAUGGGAUGAUGCACAUGGCCUGACGUGUACGUUAUUAAUUUGUUUUUGUCUACGUUUGUUUGUUUGUUUUCGUUUUUCUGUUUAUAUACGUAAAGUCAUUUUUUUCCUCUUCAUGGAAUUCUUUUUGAUGAAAAAAUUAGAGGAAAAAACACAGAUUUAACGAUAAAUUAUCCAUGUUCAUGACAAUAAGAAAAAAGAGUUUCACUAUAUAUAAAAUUAGGAUUACAUUAAAAGGUAUUUAUAUUAAUUAAAAAUAUGAUAUUAAUCAUAAUAUUUAUAAUAGACAUAUCAUAUCAAAUAAAUUAUCCAAUUUUUUAUUAUAUUAAUAGAUAAAUUGAAGUUUUUAUGGUAAAUUUAGAUUAUUUGAUAUCACAAAUAUUAUAACGUUUAAAAAUUAAUUUUAAUAACUAAGUUGUGUUUGGUUUAAAAACCAAUUUUUAGUUUUCAUUUUCCAUUUUCAUUUAUGUUUUUUCUUUUCUUAAAAAUAUCUUUGAUUAAGAAAAGUAAAAGUAGUAUUUUAAAAAAGUAAACUUAUAAAAUCUUGUUUGAUUUUAAGCUUUCGUGAAUGUAAAAACUUGUGAAAAAGUAAGCAUUGUUGUUAGUACUCUUAAAUAUUAAUUAAAUAUGACUAAGUGGAUGAUGUCUAUAUCACUUCUCCUGCCAUCGUCACCCAGUGCUCCAGAAAGAAACUGGAAUCUGGACGCGUGAUUAACAACUUCGCUGAUCGCCUACCAUUCCCAUGGCCUCAUGCCUUAUAUAUUUCCACAAACCUAGCUCAAUUUUCAUAUCCACCUUCACUGUCCUAUACUCACAAGCCAUGGCCAUAGAUACAAGCCUCUUGCCUGAGCUUGCUGCAGCAACUCUUCUCUUCUUCAUCACCCGCUUCUUCAUUCGUUCUCUCUUUCCCAAACCUUCCCGGAAGCUCCCUCCUGGCCCCAGAGGGUGGCCGCUCCUCGGCGCUCUUCCUCUUCUAGGUAACAUGCCUCAUGUUGCACUAGCAAAGAUGGCCAAAAGAUACGGACCUGUCAUGUUCUUGAAAAUGGGCACUAACAGCAUGGUGGUGGCCUCAACUCCGGAGGCAGCUCGGGCUUUCCUUAAAACCCUAGACAUUAAUUUCUCGAACCGCCCGCCUAAUGCCGGUGCAACACACUUGGCCUAUGAUGCCCAAGACAUGGUUUUUGCGGAUUAUGGGGCAAGGUGGAAGCUCCUGAGAAAGCUAAGCAACUUACACAUGCUUGGUGGGAAGGCUCUUGAGGACUGGUCUCAGGUUCGAACUGUUGAGCUAGGUCACAUGCUUCGAGCCAUGCUUGAGUUGAGCCAGCGAGAGGAGCCGGUGGUGGUGCCGGAGAUGUUAUCUUUUUCCGUGGCCAACAUGAUAGGGCAAGUGAUACUAAGCCGCCGGGUGUUUGAAACAAAAGGGUCGGAGUCAAAUGAGUUCAAGGACAUGGUGGUGG